rnacentral:lncRNA from 1 species
AACAAAAAAAAGGUGGAACUUUGAGUAUGUUGGUCUGCUUCUGAAUAUUAUUUGUGCAACUCUCUUUCAUUAUGUUUCCAAUACCUCGUGACAAACACUGCAAGUUGUUGCUUAUUAGUUAUAACUCCCUCUGCUCCUCCUUUUCAUUUGCUUGAUGAACUAAAAAAUCAGGAGAGCAAACCUUCAACGAGGUUUGUGAGGAUCAAAUACUCCGCAUGAAGUAGCUAGUCUGUGCUUCUUUUUAUUGCAUAACAUGGAAUAAGAGAAUGUGAGAGCCACAACUCAGUUGAUACUAUUGUCCUACAUAAACUUCAAUCCAAAAAACCGUAUCCACUUAGUUGCAGUUAAGGCUUCAGAAAUGACCUGGAUCUAAAUUUUUGUAACUAUAAUUAUAUUGGUCUCCCAACUCCAAGGGGUGGGAGAAAUGACAGAGGCUUGAAGAAUAGCCUCAAAGUCGCUGAUUCCAAUCCCUAUACUUGGGAUCAAAAUUACCAAUCAAAAUAAUAAUAAUAAUAUUAAUAAAUUUGUCACCUCAGUUGGUGAAACGUUAUUAAAGGUUUCUUUCUCUCCACUAAUCUCUCUCUCUCUCCCUUGUCAGUUUUUCUCCCUCAAUUCCCCUCUCCCUUAUUAUUACAAGGCAAAAUGGAGCUGCCUAUCUUAUCCAUUUCUUAUUUUCAAUUACUUUUGUUUUCUCUUACUAGAAUAUCAUACUACCAAGUGAAGAUACCAGCAUACAGGACAUGGACAUUUUUAAUGAACAUCUGGUGCUUUUUCUUAACAGAAAGGGUUCCCCUGUAAUAUGUGCCAUCACGAUGCCUAUUGAUGGAAGUUGUAUGGUAUAAUUCUCUGAUACUGUUAGUAUUUACUUGUUUUAUAUAAUUUGAGUUUGCUUAUUUGUCUUAUUUUGUUCUACAGAAAGAAAUGGAGAUUGAUGAUCUCAAUCCGUGGUAUUUCCCUCUGCCGUCGAAUUCCUGUGGAAUUGUUCCUGGUUCAAAUCAUGACUUUAUGAGCUCCCGGUAUCGCGCCAUCCUCUCAUCUCCAGUGGUAUGAAUUCUAAUGGGAUGUACAUUCUGGUUAUUUGAUUAAUCUGAACUUAAUAGUCCGCUUUCCUCUACCCCUCACACCCCUCCCCCCUCCGGGGAAAAAAAGUUUAUCAAAAAUAUGGAUUAAAUUUAACAGCAUCCCAAGUACUUAGAAGAAAUGAUGAAGCUCAGAAUAAAUUUAUAUUUUUCUUAUACGAGUAGGUGAUGGGUGAUGAGCCUGAAUGCAAUCAGAUUAAGUCCGAAAUACAAAGAUCUUAUUAUAUUGAUUUUUUGCAAUAAUCCUGAAAUAUUGAUUCCCGACCAAGGAAAGGUAAAUUUUCCUGCAAGAUGAUGCUCAUACCAUGAGCAAUGUGGCUCCUAAUUAAGCAAGCUAGAAAAAAUACAUUAACUAAAGGAAAACCACAAACUCAUGUAACAGGAAAAAUAACACCCCAAACUUCUCUUUCUAUGAAUAUGGCAUUAUACAAAAGUAAUGUAGUUGGCAAUAAGGUAAACUUGGGAACCAAGUUUGACUAAUGAAUUAGAGUUAAAAAUCAACCUUGUUGGAUUGAGUAAGUAGGCAUUUGGUGAAUCGCUGCUGUGAGGUGAAAUACUUUUACUAGUAGCACCACGAGAAAAAAUUGAAGGACCUCUGCAUUGAGGUGACUUUUACUAGUAGUUUGAGGAAAAAGUGUUGUUAAUACAAAACUGCAAUAGUGUUUGGUAUAGAAUUUUAGAAGCAGUUUAUAGAGAUAUUUUAGCUUGUUAAGUUUAAAUUCAAACACAGUUCAAAAGGACCCAAUUAUAGCUUCUUCCUAAAGUGAUUUAGCAUCCCAACACUCUACAGCUAAAAGUACUUUUGUAAUAUUGUUAAUUACCAAAUAGGCAAAUACUCCUAACCACAAAAUUUGAUUUAAAAGUGUUUUAAGCCCACCUCACUGCUGAACGGACACCAAGUAUGUAGAUCCUACUUAAGACACAUACCUAAAAUAAGCAUGUUGUACAAGCUCGUUAACUCAACAAAGAUCUUUACCUAUUUGAAGCGUAGUAUUCCCUAAUUGCUAAUAUAUUAGUUAAGAAAUAAGUCCCUUAAACCUAUUUUUGAUAAAAAUUUAACUUAUUCCUCUUUGACAAGAGUUGAUCUUAUAUUUUGCUUGCAUCAGUUAUGCAAGGUUGAUUAUUUGAAGACAGAUUUCUGGAUUCUUUAGUGAGGGUUAUGUUUGAGUGAUUUUUUUUUUUAUUUAUUAUUAUUGAAUAAAAAAAUUCCUUUUGAAAAACGUUGAUUAUUGAAAGGUUUUGUAUAUGGAUGUUGGAUGAUGAGUGGGGUUUGUGGAUUGGGAACUUGUAUUUAGUUCCUCUUUGGUGUAAAUUGGAUGAGUUGGUUGUAAACAUAUUUGGGGUUGAAUUAAUUUCUCUCAUCUCCACUGGUCAGGGACACAUAGCCUAAGUUCUUGUUUUCUCUUUUUCAAGCAGCAAGUGGGGUUUGUCCAAAAGUUAACAUUUGCAGUUAUUCUUUUGUUUUAUUUGUUUGUUGGCUCUUCUCAAUGUUUUUCCUCUCUGUUUUAAUCAAAUGAAGAUGCUGUUUAGUUUCACAGUUUUCAACUCAUUCAUAGGUUAUCUCCUCUGGCUGUUCUCGAGUUUUUUUCGCUUCUUGGCAGUCCUAGGUGGAGCUGCUUUCCGUCAUAGUUGUCCCUGUUGGCCUAGUAGUUCCUUAGUCUUGUAACUCAGCUCUUCGAACCUUAGGACAAACAACUUUGAGAACGGCACUUCAAGUCGAUUUCUUCUAACUCAAUUCCCUUAAGUGAGGUCGGGACUCUGUUUCUUCUCUAGCUGGCAUUUUGGUCUGUUUCCAUGAGUGUUGUUGCUUUCAACCGGCCGAUAGCCCCCUGUGACAGAAUCCCAAACAGUAGCCCCGAAGUUCUAUUUUGGGAUUAAAUCGUGUUCUCCUUUAAUCCUAAACAAUGCAAUGAAUAUAAGAAAGUGACUUGGCUGAGUUAUAAUGAUUUACCUAUUAUCCUUGUCAUUGCGAUACAUUGUUGGAUGUAAUUGUCGACUCUGACUGAGUAAUCUAAUUUGAAUUCUACAUGAGAGUUGUGUCCCUCAUACAUAGUUUUGUUUUGUCAAGUGCAGAUACCUGAUUUAAUUGUCGACUAUGACAUGUUUAGACGUACUUUUUCCAUAGUGCAUCAAGACGAAGUACUUGGUAUUUCCCCUAAUUCUGGGUCACGCUCAAUGACUUGCGAAGGAGAGAGUUAUGAAUUUCCAAACCUCCAAAGUGACAAGGACAAAGAUGUCAUAUAUAAUGAAAUGCAGGGAUGGAGGAAUUUCUGUGAUGCAUAUUGUUGUGAAAUAAAGGAAGUCGUUUCCCGCGAUGGUACCAGAAUUCCUCUGACCAUCUUGUACUCUCGGAAAGCACAUCAAAAGGCUCAAUCUCCUGGAAUUCUACAAGGCUAUGGAGCAUAUGGGGAAGUGCUUGAUAAAAGCUGGUGUGCAGACCGACUAAGUUUACUUGAUCGGGGUUGGGUAGUUGCAUUUGCUGAUGUAAGGUAUAUCUCAAGUUUGUUAUAUUAUGGCCAUUAUCCACUGCAAAUUGUAAUUUGGAACUGAGUAGAACAAUACAACCAAGUCGAAUAGUUAAUGUUGGAUUUUGUUUCAAUAGUUAGAUAAUAUCCUCUUUUAUGAAUUCAGACAUGCAUACGAACUCUGGCCCUAAAAAUAGAAGGUUCAUUUAAUUUAAAGCCGAUAAUAGUCUUAACUCACUUAUAAUUAAAGAUACCUUGUAGGAUAGGGGACAAAAUAACAACAUGUGUUCUGAGAGCAUAAACAAUAUGCUGGUGUAUUUUAUACUAAUUAUACGGCCCUUGACAAAUUGAAAUGGAGACUGAAAACAUUUGAAGCUAACCCCCAGGCAUAUUAAAGAAAUUGAUGAGUUGUCUCUCUUUCACAACAUGCUAUUCCUUCCAUCCCAAAUAGGGCGUCAUGUUUUCCAUUUUGAAAUGUACCAAAAUGUUCAUCACUUUUUCGAAGCUGGUGGAAAUUUAAAUAAAUGGACGGUAUUGUCCUCUUAGAGAUAAAUAUAUGUUUACCCACAAUAUAUUGCAAAACCAAUGCAAUUUUAUUAUUGGAUAUAAAAGGAACAAGUUUGGUCAAAUUUUUUCAUUUUCUUUUAAACUAUUUUCCAUAUUGACCAUGACUAUUUGGGACAUGAAUUUAUUGUAACUUGAGCUGCACCAAGUUCUUUCCAACUGCUUCAUCUUCACACAUCUAUGUCCACCUAGGUUAAUACUGACAUAUAGUGGACAUUCUCUGCGUAUUUUAUCUUUUGAAUUGAAAUAUGCUGGCUAUUGUAAAUGCUAUCUGUUGGUUCCCUAUGCUGGAAAGCUAUAUUGACAUCAUGAGUAUCGAAAACUAGUAAUUUGACUGCUGUGGCUUGUUUUGUAUGGACAGAGGUGGUGGUGGUGUUGAUCCUUCUUGGCAUAGAUCUGGGAGGGGAUUGUACAAAUCAAACUCUAUAUUUGAUUUUGUGUCAUGCGGGGAAUACCUGAUUAAUGAGGGUUAUGUCCAUAAGUGUCGGCUUGGUGCUGUUGGAUGUAGUGCCGGAUGUCUUCUUGCUGGUGCAGCCUCUAAUAUGUAUCCAGAACUCUUUCAAGCUAUUAUUUUGAAGGUAAGCACCCCUACAGAACUUCAACAACUAUCUCACAUUCUUUUGUCGGAUGGCUAUAGAACUCCUAUGAGUUGUAUCCAAAAAUAUUAAAAAAUUACUGGAGUUGAAGAUAUUUUGAACUCCCACCAAAUCUAGGAAGCAUCUUCACCUCCCUCUUAACAUUGACCUUUCCUACUCAAGAUUGGGAAAGGGAAGCAGUAAGAACAAGUGAUGGUUAUUGUCUAAGAACAUGUUAUGUAUUAGUAGUAAACAAAUUUGCUUUUGGGAUGUCUAGUUUUAAAAUUUAACUUCAGUAACUGCUGUUCUACAAUUUAUUGUCAAAGUAAUGUUAAUAUAUAUUUGUCAGAUUCUUCUUAUUGUGUAAGAAUCUGAGUGCUUGGUUUGUUUGGAGAGUAACGUGACCAUGAUGUUUGUCUCAGGUUCCAUUUCUUGAUAUCUGCAACACAUUACUGGAUCCCAGUUUGCCUCUCACCAUAUUGGACUAUGAAGAAUUUGGAAAUCCUCAGAUACGAUCCCAAUUCCAAUCUAUUUUGAGUUAUUCUCCGUAUGAUAAUGUACCAAGUAAAGUUUGCUGUCCUGCAAUGCUUGUGACGGCAUCCUUCAAUGACUCAAGGUAACUUCAAACAUCUAUAAAUAUACACACACACAUAUGCCAUGCCUUUUUGUCAUUUUAAACCUUGCACAUGCAUGUAGUUGUAUAUUCAUACCUCUGCCUAGAAAUAUACAUAUUUGAAAGCAUAAUCGAAUGGAUACGGAUAGUUUAACCGGUGCGGUGCCAUUUUUCAAUUAUCUCAGAGUUGGAGUUUGGGAAGCUGCAAAAUGGGUGGCCAAAGUACGAGAUAAUGCAUGUCCAAAAUGUUGUCACUCAGUCAUCCUGAAGACAAAUAUGAGUGGUGGACAUUUUGGUGAAGGUGGGCGUUUUGGUCAAUGUGAGGAAUUGGCGUAUGAAUAUGCUUUUCUGAUGAAAGCUAUGGGCCUCUCGGAUAAGGAUUGAAAAAGGAUUUGUACCAAGAUUCUUGUAAAACAUUUUCAAGUGUACUCUUACCUCUCCCGAUGGAAUUAUGAGCUAAACUCUCCAAUGCUUUGAAGCUUGCAGUGCCUCUUAAUUGCUGCAUCAAAAGCUACCAAUAAGCUCGGAGCGAGCUUAGUGGUCUUGCGAACUAGGUACUACAUUAUUUUUGAUUUGUAAUAUUUAUCUUCUUGCGAGCUUAGUCUGUUAUGUUACGUGUGCAGGAGUCCAGAAGUAGCCAAUAGUUGUCCUCCUCCUCCUCCAGGGCCAGGCUAGCCAAGAUUUUGACUUGCUGCUGUAUGGCAUAAAAAAGUAGUGGAUUUCUUUCUUAUUACGCUUGGCUGGUGUAGAAGAAGAAGAGAAGACACUUUCCAUAAUACUCUUAGAAUUCUCGAAUAAAAAUAUUUCUUAUUUAGUGCGUUUAAAUGUGAGAAUUUAUACAUUGUAGUAUUAGUAUAGAAUAUGAAUAACAACUAAAGUUGAUAAACCAACCCCACCUCGUCUUGCUAAUUUAAUAUACCAUCUGUUCAUGUGGAUUUAAUAUACCAAUUAACUAUCUCCUCUCCUGCUUAAUUAAUUACAAUUUUCAAGAAUUGGGCCCCUUCAUUAAACAAACGACCCCAGAGGAAGUAGUCCAAAUCCAUGAUCAUGUAUGUUUAUUUUUCACCCUUUUAGCCCAGCCCACAGAUCUGCACUGCACUAAAAUUGUAGAAAUGGCCACCCCAUCCGUUCGCUACCAGUACCUGUUGGACUCUGACCACGCCACGUCAACACCCUAUCACUUUAUUACACGUCACCCUAUCUCUUUCCCCGCCUUAUCCAACGGUCGUGAUGAUCUCACCCAAUCUCAGAUCCACCGGCUAUAAUUGUGCAUUCUGGACANNNNNNNNNNNNNNNNNNNNNNNNNNNNNNNNNNNNNNNNNNNNNNNNNNNNNNNNNNNNNNNNNNNNNNNNNNNNNNNNNNNNNNNNNNNNNNNNNNNNUUAACUUUUUAUAAAAAGAUAAUAAUAAAAUUUUAUAUAAAUUUUAAUUUUAAAUGAUAGUAUUAAAUAAUUUUUUUAAUUUAUAUUUAUAAAGUUAAAAAUAUAAUUAUUAUGGAACCGGGAGAGUAAUAAGUAUGGAUAGUUUUAGGGAGAGAAAGAUUAUGUUAUUCUAACCAGGGUUAGUUAUCUAACCAGGGUUCACGCGCAACGUUCUUCACUGCAGAUAAACCGGAGUUAAAAAGAACAUUCGACGAGAGUGAGAUAAAAUACAUAUAUAUGUAUAUACAUGGAGAGAGAGAGAGAGAGAGAGGCUUAGCAAGAACGAAGAGAGGGUUUUGUGGCUUCGACAAAAACAUUCAGGGAUCCUGCCACAUCGGAAUCCAGCCCGUUGAACCUUCUUUCUUUCUCUCAUUCCGACCGUUGAUCUGUUUGAAUCUUUAUAUUCGCCGGUUGGCCGACCCUUUUUUCAGAGUUCAAUCUAUCCAGAUCCACCCGACUGGUGAGUUAUUUAUUUUAGACUUUUCAAGUUUGUCAAUGUAUUAUUUUCUAAUCAACUUAAAAUUGUUGCAAUUAGUUAGUUUGCACUAUUCAUGAAGAUCCAAACUUUAUUAUGAAUCACUUACAAUAAUUCAACCCUACCCGGAUUGAUUACGCCGGAAUUGUUUUGGAUUUCCUGAUUUUUGAUUGCUUUUAGGGUCCUUGGAGUAUUUUCAUGUUUGUCCAGCUCAUUUAACAAAUUUGAUAUUCCAUAGGAUGGGUAUUUAAUAUCUACCAAAUUUUGCUAAUAAAAACAUUAACUAGAAUUAAAGUGUUUGUAAUGCACAAAACUUCCACUUCCGUUAACUUUUGUUGGAGUUUAAUAGGUUCAAUGUAUGUAGACAUAUAGUGGAAACCAUGUAUACUGUGUUUAUUAUUUUAUUAAGUUAUCAAAAGUUAAAGCUCGAGGUUGUAAGGAAAAUCUGAACUAUUUGGUGGUAUACAAAUGAGAUGCCAUAACUUAGAAAGUUAUAUAAGGUAUGUAAUGCAGAACACUAACAACUGAACUUUGAAUAGUAUACCCAAUAAUCUGGCAAACUGGUCCAUAUACAAAUUAAUAUAUUAGUGUGUAUUCUUUCCCACAUACCCUGCUGCUUAAUUUGGUUUGAUCUUCUCAUGUGACCAUCUUUUUUGAUGACUAUGGUUUUUUAUUUCUCGACCUUCUGCUUCAGUUGUUCUCUGUAUCAUGUUUGUGAUCCACUUGUAUUAAUUUAUUGCAGAUUAAGGUCUAUUGCUAUAUCACAUUAUCAGAUGGAUUUCUAGAUGUGUUGAUCAAGAUACUACUUUUCUCUGCCUCUAACAUCUGAUUAAUGAUCUUAUGUGAAUCAUACUUUCUCAUACAAUUGCAAUCGUCUUCUGAGUUUGGCACUCUCUUCGGAGUGAGGAAAAAAGUUUCUUCCGCUGCCAUCGCGGUUGCCAGCUGCAGGAACAAACAGACUCUCCCUUCAUUUCAUGUCGCCUAAUUUGGACAGCCCUGUUCAGACACAGAUGGCGGUGACAGUAUUUAGCAACCCACUUGGUGGAGAGUAUCACGGAAACAAUAGGAUGGAAGGGAAGCCUUCUGGAAGGAGACGUGUUUUUGUGCAGACUGAAACUGGUUGUGUAUUAGGGAUGGAUUUGGAUCGGAGCGACAAUGCGCAUACUGUGAAGAGGAGGUUGCAGAUUGCCCUUAAUGUUCCAGUUGAGGAGAGUUCAUUGACAUUUGGUGAUAUGGUCCUUAACAACGACCUGAGUGCCAUUCGAAAUGAUUCUCCUCUUCUUCUUACACGAAAUGUAUUGCACAGAAGUUCUUCAACUCCUUGUCUCUCCCCUAUUGGGAGGGAUCUACAACAGAGGGAUCAGAGUGGGCCUAUCGAGAUCUUGGGGCACUCUAAAAGCUUUAUCAAAACAAAGCAACUUGUCAAGGAAAUUAUCAAGGGGAUGAAGAUUGGGGUUGAUCCGAUUGCUGUUCAUGGCGGACUUGGAGGCGCAUACUAUUUUAGAAACUGUAGAGGUGAAAGUGUUGCCAUUGUAAAGCCAACUGACGAAGAGCCUUUUGCACCAAAUAAUCCUAAAGGUUUUGUGGGGAAAGCUCUCGGGCAACCUGGCUUGAAGCGUUCUGUAAGGGUUGGGGAAACUGGGUUCAGAGAAGUUGCUGCUUAUAUUCUUGAUUAUGAUCACUUUGCUAAUGUACCACCCACUGCAUUGGUGAAGAUCACUCACUCAAUCUUCAAUGUCAAUGACGGUGUUAAUGGAAACAAGCCUCAAAGCAAGAAGAUCGUGAGCAAAAUUGCAUCCUUGCAACAAUUCGUACCCCAUGAUUAUGAUGCCAGUGACUAUGGGACGUCAAGUUUCCCUGUAGCUGCUGUGCAUCGUAUUGGGAUAUUAGAUAUCAGGAUAUUAAACACGGACAGGCAUGCAGGAAACCUUCUGGUCAAGAAGCUUGAUCGUGUUGGGAGGUUUGGUCAAGUGGAACUCAUUCCAAUUGAUCAUGGCCUCUGUUUGCCUGAAAGUUUGGAGGAUCCAUACUAUGAAUGGAUCCAUUGGCCCCAGGCUUCAAUUCCAUUUUCAGAAGAGGAACUUGAAUACAUAGAAAAACUAGAUCCUGUUCGGGAUUCUGAGAUGUUGCGAAGUGAACUUCCCAUGAUCCGGGAGGCUUGUCUCCGAGUCUUGGUUCUCUGCACAAUGUUCCUCAAGGAAGCUGCUGGUUUUGGUCUCUGCCUUGCUGAGAUUGGUGAGAUGAUGAGUAGGGAAUUUCGUGGUGGUGAAGAGGAACCCAGUGAGCUUGAGGUUGUUUGUAUUGAGGCAAGGAGACUGAUGGCUGAGAGGGAGGUUUUAUCGCCUAGGGAUGAAGCAGAAGACAACGGGUUUCAAUUUGAUAUAGAUUCUGAAGAACCCGGAUUUGACUUCACAUCAGAGGAACUCAUUUCUCGAACCCCAAUUCAAUUUGGAUUUGGAGGUGGUUUCAGUGGACGUAAUCCGCUUUCCAAGCUAGAGGAAAGCAUUGAGGAGGAUGAGAAGGAAACUGAAGGGGAAGUAGAAGACAAGGGAUCCAUAGCCGUAGGACUUCCGGGCCCUGCAAAGAUGCCUACUGUUUCCAAGCUAUCCAUGUCACUCAAGAACACCAGUUUAGAUGAGAAGCUUAAGUACCGGAAAAUUUCAGGAACUAGGCUAGAAUAUGGUUAUCCGGCAAACUCAUCAUCUGGACACAAGAGUGCGCAUGAUCAGCUUCCCGCCAGUGCUAGCUUUGUAAAGUUUUCAGACAUGAAUGAGGAAGAAUGGGUGCUGUUCUUAGAGAAGUUCCAAGAGCUGCUGUACCCGGCGUUUACUCAGCGGAAGUCUGUGACCCUCGGGCAGAGACAGAGACAGAGGCUUGGGACUUCGUGCCGGUUUUGAGAUCGACUAUAUGUUGCUAUUAGAGAUGACUGAAAUAAAACUGCAGACUUGUGAGAGUGAAGGAUUCAUAGGUUAGGAUUUGAUUGCUAUUGGCUUUCUUCACUGAAGGUUACUGUAGUUGGGACUUUGGUGGUAGUAGCAGUAGGAAAAAUGCUUGUAAAUAUUUUGAAGGCAGCUAAGUGAAAGGCUCGAGCAGAAGGUAGUAAUUUUUCUAUUUAACUUCAAUUUUUUCUUUGGACUCUUUCUGGACUUGUUUGAACAAUAAUUUGUAGAAUGAAAUCCAAAAAUAGUGAAAAAAAGUGUUUGUACAUAUUGAAUAUUAUGCUUCUAAGACUCUUUUUGAAUUGAAACUAUUACUAGUAUUUAUUGGAUUAGCUUGAGUUGCAAUGGUGCUACACUACAAGUCUACAUGGAUGGUAUAUUCUUAUUAAAUUAAUACUAAAAAGAUUAUGUAAAAGGUGUCAUAUAGAAGUUUUAAUUUAUGUGAAAAUUUUCAACAAUAAAUGAGAUAUUUUUCUUCUUCUUCUUUGGUGUUGGGUUAGUUUUAGAGAGGUGGUUUUUUGGAUUUAAAUUCGGGACCAGCGAAGCGAGCGCUUGGUCAUCAUGUCAAGUAGGAUCUCAUUUUCAGGCAUAGGUAGUAUGAUAUGAAUUAUUGGUUCCUAUAAAAUAAAAGUGGGUUUAACUUGAUCUCAAUAGCAAGACAAGGAUUUGUAGCAUCAUCCUUUGUUGUUGUAAAGAUUGACAUUCGUUCUAAAUGGUUUUAAUUAAGUGAUGGAUUUUAUUAAGGUACUAAUUCAAUCACGUGUUGCCAAAAUAAUAUUCAACAAAAACAUGAGGUUUAAAUAUGCAGAGCUGGCAAGGAUCAACAGAUGAAACAACUCAAAGGCCUUCCUUUAUGGCUAAAUUAUGCACCCUUUAGGACUAUAACAACGAGGAUUGUAUAUAAAUAAAUCGGUUACACGAAAGGUUCAUCAGGUGAACUGUCUGUCAAGCUGACAACAUGUCCAAGUCUUGCAGAAUGAUUACAGUUUUGUAGCAAUUCUGCAUGAUCCUCAACACAAUGAACAAUUAGAUUAGAUUAACUAAAUCUUUCAUUCACUAAUCAACCUUCUGCCAGACUUGCUUCCCUUUCCACCUGCUUUCUCAGCUGAUCUAAAAUUAAUAUACAACGCCCCUUCACUCACAAGGGAAUCUAUCUGAUGGCAAGUGUAUUAGUGAACACCUUGUCGUGUAAAGUCCUCCUGCUUCUCUAAAUCUGCACAAGUAACCAAAAAGUAUUUGCUUUCUCAGUUCAAAAUAUAAGGCAAAAAAACGUAACUGGAUCCUAAAUUCUGACAACAUGGAAAAUUGAUCAUUGUACAGUUCUGUGCAGAAUGUUUGACGCUCAACAGCACCUUCCUAUGAAUCAACUAUUGACUGAAUUCCUGAAUCAUGAUCAAUCUUCAUGUUCAUUUUCACCUUCAGAAUCUGCAUAAAUAGAAAAGUAAGUCCAAUUAUAUAUCAGUUACAACGGGAGGUUCUGACUGAAGAUGCUAGUGGUCUGAAUUAUAUGCAAGAGGUUGCUGUCAUAUUAGAUCACUUGGCUGGAGCAAUAAUGGCUGCUAAUACAUUUAUAACAAGCUAUAGAAGUCGUCUUCAAGGGAAAUUUAACCGAUAAUAGGGGUCAAGACGCUGUCAGGCGAGUUUUUUUGAUUUGCUAAAAACUAUCCAUUCCAUCUUUAGGCCCCUAACUAUGAUAAAGGGGCGAGUGCACUUUUUGAUGAACCACAAGUAUAACCCAUACUAAAUAUGAUUAGUCAUGAAGCCAUUAACAGGUUCUCAGGUUUACAGUAAAUUAAAAGUUAUAUAGAGCAUAAUAAACUUCAUCCACUGGAACAAAGCAGUAAUAGAAUUCAUUCAAAACAAAUGCAACCAUCAGUUGAGUAGUGACGGAUUAUUUACAGAAAACCUAUGAUGCCCUUAUUAUACUUAUGGCUUGGAAAAAUGAAUAAACACAAUACCAGAGCACAUUGAACAAUUAUGCUGCAAAAUUAAAAGAAUAGGUAUCUACUCAGAAGGUAUUGAAUGAUUAAGGCCUUCAAAAAUUCAAUCUUCCAUGACAACAAAGCGGUACAUUUGUUUACUUCAACUAGUACUGAUUUGCUACACUAAUGCUUUCCUCUUCUUUUCCCCCCUUUGUGUGGGUUUUUUUUUUGUUUUGUUGGGGNNNNNNNNNNNNNNNNNNNNNNNNNNNNNNNNNNNNNNNNNNNNNNNNNNNNNNNNNNNNNNNNNNNNNNNNNNNNNNNNNNNNNNNNNNNNNNNNNNNNNNCCUUGUUUUGACUUACCAGAUCGAACAUCAUCACUAAGUUGGCCUCUUGCUUGGAUUUGUUUAACAAGCAUCCGAUACAUUAACACCCACCAGUAAAUGUGAAGAACGAGCAAGCAAAAGAGAAGAGUAUUGAACACGUAGUAGUAGAUUGGUCCUUCAACUCUGUGCUUCUCCUUGUCCAAUGCUUGGAGAACUUCAUAACUGCCGAAAAAGGAAUAAUCCAUAAUAUUUCAUCAUAUUUUAAGCUCUUCAACAUAUUAAUAGUUAUCAGAAACUAUAGAAUCUUAAAUUGGAUACUGAAAUUGAUAUUGAUACUAUAAGAAAAGGAAAGAAAAUAAGAUCAAAAAUGAGUAUCUCACUAAAGUGCAAGCAGUGCUACUGAACUAAUAAUAAGUAAACCAAUUAUCAAUGAAACAUUUAACAAUUGAAGUUUUGAACUAUGAAUUUUCAUCCAGAAAAAGAUGAUACUACCAGAAAUCUGUUUGAAUGAUGGCUACUAAUCAAAUAAUAAAAGAACAUAAUUGCCAUUAAAUAGCAUCACAUCUCCUGGCCCUAAGAACUACUAAGAUCAUGUAUUCAGGCUUUUAGCUUCUAGAAAUAUUCCUCAACUAAGAGCUAGAGACGAAACCUUGGGAAAUUAAGAUUUUACGGUAAAUUUAUGAAUCGGAAAGAAACCUGUUUGUUCAACGAUUUUGUGCACAGAUAGUAGAAGAUUAAGAUUCCAAGGUUAAAUAAAUAGAUAUAGGAGUUGUUGAAGCUAGUAUACAUAUGUAGAUAUACAUAAGUGUACCUAUACAACCAAAUGCUGCUGGUGGAGAAUGUAUAUAUAUCUUUUGAGAAUUUAUUCAGCAAUUAUGUUGUGCACCACCAGACUGAGAAAACCACCCUUGGUUCUUAAGUAAAGAUUAUCAAGUAACUGCCAACCAAUUAAUUAGGAAUGGAUACUGCAAGAAGCCACCAUCAUUCUAUCUCUUUGUUCUUCGUAUUCUACUUUGUUUCUUUUUCUUCUCAUGUUUUAUGUUAAAAUAUAACCAUAUUAAUCUUUCCAAUUUGAGAUAAUUCAGCUUGAUUAUACUUAACGCUAGUUGUCUCAUGUUCAAACCUAAAGUAAUUAGGUUUUUAAUUGCUAUUCAGAUUUAAGUUUGACUUGUGCAACCAUUUUUUAAGUCCUUUUGUUUCUGUUGUUGAAAAUUCAUACAUAAUUCUUAAUAAUGUAUAUUGGUUAGUAAAGAUGAGUUGGGUUGACACUAGUCUAGGUUUCAGAUUCCCAAUCAAAUACCAGGUGGCCAAGGUCAGAAAGACAUGCAGAAAUCAAAUGAAAUGAGUGUUAUAACCCUAUUUGGAUAUGAGAUAAAAGUAUUGUACUAAUAAAUUUUUAAAGAAAAACACCUGGCCCAACCCCAAAAGAUAAUGUGAAAGAAGAAACAUAGAGAUCCAAAUGAAUAAUCAUAAAAGAAUGCAACAGUGAAGAUAAAUAGGCUCCUUUAAAUUCCUAAAAUACCUUCAACAAUGGUAUAUCUUGAGGGUAACACACUAGUAGACAACAUUAGACUACCAAAAAAAAGUUGUUGACCGUGAUUGCUUCUUUAACUAGUCAAUUCCAUUUAUUAAUAUCUUCCUUAAUGUCUUAACUUCUGACCUAGUUAAGAUUUUAGAAUACAUAUCAAUUUUGACAAACCAUUUGACAUCAGAGCAAAGGAAUUUGCAAGAGUAUCAAUGAAUAAAUGUGAAAAAGCAAUCUACUCCACCUUGUACUCCAGAGGAUCCAAAAUGGAUAGUAGAUGAGGCGAAGUAGAACCCAUGAUAAAACAAACAGAAUAAAUGAAAAGCUAGCAAGAGUCUCAGUGCCACUAUAUUUGGACAUCUUCCCUACUUCAAGAAAUACAUCACUAGCAUCAUGAAGAGCCAAAACAACAGAACCAACUCGAGCAAACCUGCAAUAAGACACAUGAAACAAAUUUUAAAAAUUCCAUCUGCACCAGGUUAUACUAUUUUAGCCCUUUCUAGUACAUAUAUUAAUUUGAAUAAUCAUAUAUUCAUAUUAAUCAUCCCACAUAAUGCCAUUCCUUGAACAUAUUCCAACCUAAGUUGAAGUCAGCAUAAUUGAAAUUAGAACUGAAAAUGAUAAUUACAAAUUAAUAUCCUUCUAAGCAUACCUGAAUAUGUAAGACAACAUGAUGAGUAUCGCAGUUGCUACAUGAUGACCCAUUGACACCCCAAAAUCAGAACGCCUUGUUUCCCAAAAUAUCAAAGCAAAUAUGGAGUAUGUAUAGAAUCCACCAACAUACAUAUAAAGUCCUUUCAAUUUCAACCUGGUUAUCAUAAAAUGAGUCAACUCAGAAAUAGAAAAUUCUUACAAAGUAAAAGAAUAAAUCAAGAGCGACCCAACGUUGCUACAAAAAUUAUAUAAUCAUUGGUCUAUAAUUUUUGGAAAUCUUACUUAAUUUUAAGCUCUGGCCAUACUUGAUUUCCAGGUCCUGUCCAAAAAUUGCUUGUGUUAGUGAACCAAGGCUCAUCAUAGGUUACAGCAAGAGCUAGAAUCUCUGCUGAAAGGUAAUAAAUGCAUUUCCACGCUGAUUCCUUGAACUUUCGUAUCUUCUUUCUCCUCUCAUCUGUCUCAACAUCCAGCUUCUGAUUUCCCUUUCCAAAUAUCAACAGUCUUCCCACUUUCUGCAAAAUGUAAACAUUCAUUUUACUUUACAGUCUGAAUACAAAAAUUUCCAUUGAAGAGUUAAUUUUCUUUUUCUUUUUGGGUAGGAGGGUUGUGGGGAAGACCUGGCCAUGGAGCAGAUUGAUUCGAGAAGGUCAAUUACAAACAUAUAGAAAGAAAUCAACUAGUGUUGGUGUUGCUUAUACAUGGUGUUGGGAGAGGUAAACUAGAUAAUAUAUAUCCUUCAGCAUUUUUUUUAUGAGUAGCUAUCAUGCAGCGUUAUUUUUUAACAAAUUUUGUGUUCUUGAGCUGAACCAUUCUAUUUGCACCAAAAUAACAAUCCAAAAGAAGUUUACCAAGAACACUCCCCAUGGAAGGUUUAAUCUCGGUUGACGCAUAAGCUGGGCCGAGGACACCCUUACCGUUCAAACAAAAAAAAAGACUAGUUAUCUAGUAAAACCAACAUUGGAGGUUCAUUAAAUCUAUAUUUUUUGAAGCAGAAAAAGCUAUUGAAUCCAAUUUUUUAAAAUUUUAAAAUGAAUUUGUAUUCAGUACCAUUCUUUAAUAUGUAAUAUUCGCAUUCAAUUUUUCAAUCAUGAAAGUUGUAAAUUAGUAACUUGGGAUCAGUCUAAUAAUUGUUUAUCUGCAAUGGUCUCUGCAUGUGGUUUUAUCCUGAUUUUCCAGCUUAUCAUCUAUGAUGUUGCAUUCUAGGUAGUAACAACAUUGAGUCAGAUAAAGAAGAUACUUUCUGGGUAUGUUUGGGAUUACAAAGUUCUGGGAGUGUUGUUUGUUGGUAAUAAAGCAUUAGGGACAGAAACCAGAUGAGCAUUACCAUUCAUGUUAAAGGUACAAAAGGACAACUAAAAGAAGAUAAAACACAGGAUUAUUAGUUGGGAAAAAGAACUACAGCCCUAAAAUAAAAUAAGUUCCACAUUGUCAAUAAAAUGUACUAGCUAAGGAUUUAAAUAAAUAUGUAUUGUCUCUCAUGGUCCAAUUGGCCAUGGAUGACUAAUAAGUAAAAUCUUAGUUAGUAUUAGAUCAUAAAUCCCGUCUCAAUUAUGAAAUUAAGAUCAUGCAUUACUAAAAUGGAUAAAAUACCGCCUAAGAGAACAUCGAAUCACUCAAAAUCCAUGUGACUUGACGUAAAUGUCAGGGAAAAAUCUUGGUAGAAAAAGAUGCCACAGAAAGCACAGACAUUAAUAUGUUACUCCCUCCAUCACAAAAGAAAGUCCAGUUUCGAAAGUCUUAAAAAUGUUUGACUUUAGCAUAAUUAACGACUAAGAUCAUAAUUUAGACUUCGCAGGAAUCUAAUAUAAAGAAGAAGCUAUUGAAUCAAAAAGAUGCGCCUCUAUAGGUGUUUAUGGUGUAAAAUGCUUUUGCUGGGCUGAUUGGACCUUCUUUAAUAUUGGAGUGAGCAGUCUUCAUCUUUUUGGUUAUACUGUUGCAGUGAGUAAAUACAAAGUAUAAACUAUAAACAGAACUGUAUAUUCUGUUCUUUGUGCUUAAAAAAACAUAUAUCCAUAGCACAAUUACAGCUAGAAAAACAACAGAAUUUCAAAAAUUAACACAAAGCAAAAGGAUGAAUGCAAUAUUGGUCGACGAUACACCAUAUAUUCGUAAAGCAAUGAAUAGCAAAACGUACACACAGUGAGCUUGAUCAGUCGAUCUAAUAACCAAUUAUCAAACAAAGUGAACAUCAAUCGAAAGUAAAAGAAACCCACUUCAAUCAAACUGAUAAUAAAAUCAACAAGGUACCUCGAAAAUAAAUCUGUCGAGAAAGAAGCGCACUGUAGGGAAGAACAGGGCAAAUAAGGGAAGAACUGCAAAAUCUUCAUACUUUGGAAACGAUUCAUGUUCCCAAUCAAAGGAACCCAAAAAUUCAACCAAGUCCAUUACGGGUUUCCUCAGAAUAACUGUAUCUGUAUCUAUAUAAUUGGUAAGUAAAUCUCUCUAUAUAUAUACACGUAUAUAUGAAUAUGGAUGAAUUCUUGGGCAGAUCAAUGUCUAGCCCAGUAAGGUGAGAUCAAAUCGAGGACUUUAGCAAUGUAAUUGGUUGGUUAUUGUGUAUUGAACAGAUCUGUCUCCCCCACCAGAAUUAUUUAUUUAUUUAAGAUGCCAUUUGAUAAAUCAAGUCAAUUCGGCUUUGAGGUUGACAUUAUAAAAAGUUGGCAAUCGACUGGCGAUUGUUAUCUGGACCGGCGUACGAUUAGUAGAGUCCAGCAUGGUGGGAAGGCUUUGGGCUGCCCAAUAUCAGUUGAGAAAGAGAAUAGCUUUUAUGGUUUAAUCGUAAUCCAAAAACUGUGCAAUAUACAAUUUUUUUUAAUUACUUAAUGAAAAUAUGGCACCUUAAAUAAUUUUAUUAAUUAUUUAUUUAGAUUUUAUUUAUUUAUGAGAACCUAUUAUUUUGCAAUUCAUUUUAGAGAUACAUUUCAUUCUACAGCCUAAGGAAAGUUGGAGAAGGGGUCCGUAAAAAUCAGAGAGCAACUUAAGAGAAACUUAUUUUUAAGUAUAAAACAAAGGAAAUCAUAUAUUUAACUUUUGCCAAUUUCAGAAUGAAAUAAAAAUAAUAUAUUUGAUGAUCAUUUUUGAGUAUAAAUUAUUCCAUUCCAAUAGAAUGGAUUUCCUUUCAAUCCUGGCCUUAACAUUUUUACUGUGAUUUUCAAGUCCUGAGAACGGUUAAAUACAAACACAGAGAGUAUUACCAUUUGUGUAAUUUUUUAGCAGUAAAUUAAUUAGUCAUCCAAGAAGAAGUUUAAACUGGGGCCUCCUCUUCCAAUAGGCCAAGUUGUCUGAGGGAUGAAUGAAAUAAUAAAUGAUACACAAUUAUAAGCAUCUUAAGUUCAUCCCCUUGAAACAUCACUACCCCCUUGCAUCUUGUUUGGCUGGGCUUACCGAGAGAUGAUAAAAUCCAUGGCAGCCUAGCUGUAAUGGGACACACAUCGGAAGCUAAUGAUUUGUGUGCCUGUUUUUAGUUCGUUUUCUGAAUGUGCCUAUAUAGUUUAGUUAGUUCCUUUCAAUGAAAUAAACAAGUGUGACUGGAGCCGGGAUAUCUUACUUGAGGAUAAGUCCAUAAUUAGCUGAAUGUAUAUACAUACAACCUCAGUGAUUUGCAGGGCUAGUAAUUAUCAUCUUCUUUUUUAGAAGACAAAUCAUAUAUUUAACUUUUGCCAAUUCCAGAAGAAACCAAGUUAUAUUUCCGGGUAAUAGAAGCCAGAGAUGUGAUGGUGCUAAAAUUGAUAAUAAUAAUAAUAAUAAUAAUAAUAAUAAUUUCAUUUUGUAUCAUCAAUGUAGCGUUUUUUGCUUUUUGCAUGGAAGAUUCGCAUUUAUAGGAGUCGGUUUCCUUUCUAAGAAAAUUAGAGUCUCAGAUUUUCUUGUUCUGAACAAGAAUACUUUGUUUUUCAGUUGAUUACUCUCUUUUUGAUUUUCUGCUGUAUACUCUAGCGAUAGACAUGGACUCAUCCCAAGUCUGCGGAGUCAUAGAAGAAUAUAGUAGCAGUGAGUCCGGGUGGGCAAUGUAUAUAAACUCUCCCAACCACGAAAACAAGAAUGAGGAUGGAGGUGAUCACCAAACAGAUCAAGAAUCUGGGCAUGAUAAUGCAGAGUGAUGAUUCUAUGGCUUCAGACGCCUCUUCAGGUUCAAGUCAUGAUCAUCGUGUAACUUUACACACUAAGGAAAGUUGUGGCAAGGGUGAUUUCAAGUACGCAAAGGAUAAAAAUUUGGUCCAAACUUCACGCAAGAUACCUAGGAAACAGAUGGAGAAGAAGAUGUACAAAAGGAAGAAAGAAGCUGAGACCCAAGAGCCAAAACACCAGCCAUACAGAGCUAUCGGUUAUGGUCAAAGUGGAGCAAAGAAAAUCAAGUAGGAGGGCAGAAGACACUUCAUAGAUUCAGUGAGCACACAGUAGUGUAGUCAGGCAGUAUUAGCUAACUCAAGCACAUGUAUACAUCAUAAAUGUUCACGUGAUCCUUUGUUUCAUGUUCCAUGAUAUAUAAAAGUUUCAAAUGCGUGUGUAUAUAUAUAUAUAUAUAUAUAUAUAUAUACAUAUACAUAUACUUGUAUGAAUAUAUGUCAGACCAAACAUGCAAAAAGGUGAUUUAGAAACUGAUACAGAUCUAGGGUAGCAAAAAUCUAGGGAGCGAUAGCAUAGAGAUGGAGGAUGACAAUUGACAAACACCAAAAUACCAGGCAUUACUAUUAAGAAAAGACGCCACAAAUAUGAUAUUUGAGCUCUACCUCUUCUUGAAGAAAUAUUGUUGGUCUAUUGGUUUCAAAGCUCGUGCUCGUAGUUCAUCUAAAGGCAGUUCAUCUAGCUGAGGUCAAUAAUCAAUGGCAGCAUCAAUGAAAAGCAUUUGAACAUGAAAAAUUAAAAUUUAAGACUUCAUAUAACAAGAAAGUACAUGACCAGAAUAAAGAUCCACGGGACCCCCAGCAAACAUAUAUUGCUCUUAUAAUUAAGAAGAUAGGUCCACCACAAUAUGAAAAAUCAAACCAAAUCUAAAAGAAGUUACAACAAACAUAGAUAAUAUGCAAUUUAGACACUUUCAGUAUAUCUAGAAACAACAAUGCCAAGAAAAGUAUGACAAAAUGAAAUAGAAUCAAAUGCUCGGUCUCAAUCACCAAUGGAACAUUAUUAGGUAUAAAAGACAACAGUUCAAAAUGGUUGAAGACAACCAUCGGAAAUCAGAUCUUUGACUGUUUGGCGAUCUUGAACCAUUCAGUAUGGAAGGCCCCUGGUAUAUCAGUCCUCUCAUAUGUAUGAGCACCAAAAUAAUCUCUUUGCGCUUGAACCAAAUUAGCAGGCAGCCUUUCCCUUCUAUAGGUGUCAAAGUAAGCGAGACUAGAAGACAUACCCGGUGUGCUUAUACCUGCGUUGAUAGCAAGACAAACAACUCUUCGCCAAGCAGAUUGUCGCUCUAUCAUCUCCUUUGCAAACUCUGGAUCCACAAGAAGGUUAGCGAGAUCUGCAUUUCUAUCAUAAGCCUGCUUGAUGCGGUCCAAAAAUAUUGCACGGAUAAUGCAACCCCCCUUCCAAAUCCUAGCAAGCUCCCCAAGUUUUAAACCCCACCCCUUUUCAAUACUCUUUGCGCGGAUCAAAUUCAUUCCCUGGGCAUAACUACAUAUCUUGGAAGCGUACAGCGCUUGUCUGACAUCAUCAAUCAACCUCUUCUUAUCCACAGUUUGGUCAAUGAGGAUGUCCCCCACCCCGCCUGCUUUGAAGACCUCUGCAGCUGCAACUCUUUCAUCCUUCAAACCACUGAGGAAUCUUGAAUCCAAAGAUGAAGCUAUAGUAGGAGCAGCAAUAGACAGCUCAGCAGCUUGCUGGACCGUCCAUUUACCUGUACCCUUCAUGCCUGUUUUAUCAAGAACCUUGUCCACCAAAUACCCAUCUCCCUUAUCAUCCUUAAUUCCAAAUAUAUCUGCUGUAAUCUCGAUUAAGAAGCUCAGAAGUUCCCCCUUAUUCCACUCUGAGAAAACCUGAUGCAAUUCCUCAUUUGAGAGCUUCCCAACUGAUUUUAGUACAUCAUAAGCUUCUGAAAUCAGCUGCAUAUCACCAUACUCAAUCCCAUUGUGAACCAUCUUAACAAAAUUUCCAGAUCCACCUUCGCCAAUGUAUGUAACGCAAGGGCCACUGUCAGGAACUUGAGCAGCCACCUUGAGAAGGAUAUCUUCUAUAUUCUUAUAAGCCUCAAAGGAUCCUCCAGGCAUUAAAGAGGGUCCAUUCCGAGCACCCUCUUCACCACCCGAAACUCCCAUUCCAAGAUAGAGUAAGCCUAAUUCAGCCAUAGCUUUCUCUCUCCUUUCGGUGUUCUCGUACCACUCGUUACCACCAUCAAUGAUACAAUCUCCUUUCUCCAAGUAGACGGAAAGGGUUUUGAUGGUUUGAUCAACUGGUGCACCAGCCUUAACAAGCAUAAUUAUGACUCGAGGUUUCUGGAUUGAAUUAACAAAGGCCUCAGGAUCAUGGAAGCCGUACAAGGGAAGGUUUCCUUCAAGUUGGGCGCGUUCCACGGUCUCGUCAACUUUUGAAGUAGUUCGGUUGUAAACAGAAAUAGGGAAUCCUUUCUCAGCAAUGUUGAGGGCAAGAUUUUGACCCAUGACGGCAAGGCCAGCGAGACCGAUUCUUGUUGGGAGAGGAGCCAUUUCCUUUUCCUGUUUAAAACUUUACCAUCAGACAUCAGUAGAUUAUAUUUAUGGUUUCAUAAAUCACAUGCUAAUGGAGAGGAAAGUUCCAAUAACAUCGAAAAAUGGAAACAAAAAAAUCAUUUAAGGAACCAUUCUAAACAGGCCAGUAAAGUCUAUAUACUUGGGUGAAUCCUAACAAAACAGAACAAAAAGAACCCAAAAAUUCAAGACUUAUUGCAAAGCCUCCAUAUUGUUAAAAUGGAAUCUAAAAAAUCUAUUGGACAGACAAACAUAUCUCAGUGGGAAGGAAAUACAAAUUAACUGUUUAACCAGAAGAACUUGGAACUUAUUUCCAAGAUCCGUGCUACAUUUUGUUGCUUUGAGUAGGAAGUGGGAGAUCCAAUUCAAAUCCCGUAAUUGGUUGCUUACUAUAUUAAAAAUGAAUUUGGAAAUCCCCCAACUCUUCCCCUUCAUAUGGUCCAGUAUUAAAUUCCAAAGAUUCAUAACCUAUAUCCUACCUCCUACAUAGAUGAAUGGGUAAAUCUGAUCUACCUUAUCACAUUCAGCCAAAUAAUUACAAUAUUAUGAUUUCCUGAUCACUUCACCAACAAAUCAGAAAGUGACCUACAGAAGAUGUGCAAAAUAAAGAUUCAAAUAAAAGGAACCGGUUAUAUAAUUGAACCCCAUAUCAAAAGAAUCACAGAUAACUUAAUAGAAUGUUGCCAAGAAGAACCAAAUUUAUGACAAAAACGAGAUGAAAAUGAAAAAAAAAAUAACUUGCUGGUAGAAGUAGUAAAAAAUCAGUAACAAACACAUUAUAUACAUCCAAAGGUUCAAUCAAACUAUAUAGCAGAAAACAAAUCGGGCAAACAAAGUCCGGAAACUUUCAAAGGCAAAGGAAAAAGCAAAAAAACAACAUCUCAGCACUGAUCAAAGAUGAAAGAUUGAAUCUUGACAAGGAAGUAUUACCUCAGAAGAAUACAAAACUAUGAAACUUUACUUCAAAUGGUUCGAACCAGAGAAAUUUUUGGAUCUGAGCUUUUAAGAUCACACUCAAUCAAUCCGGUAGAAGACGAUUAUAUACUGGUAUAAAGAAGGUUCCCACACUAGUCUAUCUUCUGACUUCGGCGGAAGCCCAGUACAUUCACGCGCAAGUCAAAUUCGGCUGGCUUAUCGUUUUCCCCUAUCACCGGUGAAUUGGUGAUUGAUUUACCAAAUGCCCUUCUUUUCCCGCAUAUCCCAGCGGAUCCACCUACCACCAAACUACUCCUACUUAAAAGUUAAAAGGGAUAAAUAACGUUUUCUUCGAACUUUGAUUUUCAUUGUGAUUAUCGAAUUUUUUUUUAUUACAAUUCAAUAAUUAUACUUUCAAAAAUUUAUAAAAUAGUCAUUCCGUCCAAUUUUUCGUCCAAAAAAUAUUAAAAAUACUGACUGUGCAAGUUGACUUGACUUUUUUACUUACGUAGAACACAAAAAAGACAAGCAAGUAGAUUAUUAUAGCACAAAUGACCAAAACUAUUAAUUACUUCACCUAAACAAUUCCAAAACUAAUAAUAAUAAUAAUACUAAUAAUUUCUAAAUAAUAAUAAUAAUAAUAAUAAAUACUAUUAAUAGUAAUAAUUUUAAAAUUCUAUUUUUAAAUUUUUUUAAAAAAAAAUCUGUUAAUUUUAAAAAAGUCUUUUUUUUAAAAGAUUUUUUGUUUUUUAUAAUUCAAUUUUUUUUAAAAAGUCUGUUUUUUUAAAAAACGUUAAUUUUUUAUAAAAACAGAUUUUUUUUAAUUUUUUUAAAAACGUUAAUUUUUUUUAACUGAACUAAUAUUUUUUUUAAAAAGUUAAUUUUUUUUAAAAACGUUAAUUUUUUUAUAAAAACAGAAUUUUUUUUUAGAAAAUUAAUGUUUUUUUGAAUUUUUUUAAAAAUUUAACGUUUUUUAAUUUUUUUUUAAAAAAGUAACGUUUUCAAAAUUUUUUUAGAAAAGUAACGUUUUUUAAAUUUUUUUAGAAAAGUAACGUUUUUUAAAAAAAUUUUAGAAAAUUAACGUUUUUUAAAUAUUUAGAAAAGUAACGUUUUUUAAAUUUUUAAAAAUUAACGUUUUUUAAAUUUAAGAAUUUUUAAAAAAAAUAUUAGUUCAGUUUUAAAAAAAUUAAAAAAAUUCUGUUUUUAUAAAAAAUUAACGUUUUUAAAAAAAACAGACUUUUUAAAAAAAAAUUGAAUUUUAAAAAACAGAUUUUUUUUUAAAAACAUCUUUUUUUAAAAAAAGACUUUUUUAAUAUUAACAGAUUUUUUUUAAAAAUAGAAUUUUAAAAUUAUUACUAUUAUUAUUAUUAUUUUGAAAUUAUUAUUAUUAUUAUUAUUAUUAUUAUUAGUUUUGAAAUUGUUUAGGUGAAGUAUUUAAUAGUUUUGGUCAUUUGUGCUAUAAUAAUCCGCCUGCUUGUAUUUUCUGUGCUCCACGUAAGCAAAAAAGUUAAGUCAACUUGCACAGUCAGCAUUCCUAACGUUUUUUGGACGGAAAAUCGGACGGAAUGACUAUUUUGUAAGUUUUUGAAAGUACAGUUAUUCGAUUGUAAUAAAAAAAAGUUUCGAUAACCACAAUGAAAACCGGACCCCAGUAUAAUGACCAAAACGUUAUUUAUCCCAAAGUUAAAAGCAUGAUUUUUAAUACAAUUUUUUUUUUGUUAUAUCUGCACAGAUCAAAUACUACAUGAAAUAUGUAGAAGGACUAAUUUAUUAUAAAAAUUCCCCUUCUUUAAUUUUCUUAAUUUGUAAAAAAAAACAGAGACCUAAGAAAUUUCGAUAUACAAUCUAAACUGUAGCAAUAAAUUAAGGAUAUAUUUUUAAAUUGCCAAUUUUAAAAAUAAUAUUAAUUAUAAAUAUAGUAGUAGUACGUAGUGACAUGAGGCUAUAAUACUAUUCAAUAAUCAAUAAUUUUAAUAAAAAUAUAUAUUUAUUUGGAACAAACAUAAAAGAAAAAAGUAUGUCUCAUUUUGGAAUGAAAAGGUUAAUUUAUCCAUUCAUUAAAAGCAUUCUUAUUAGAAUUUAUGUUGAGAAAUAUGUCAAAUUCUAAAAUUCAAAUUGUAAUGUAAAUUUAUUUUAAUUUUUAAAAUAAAAAAUUUAUGCUUGGCAAUUUAUAAUAGUAUUAACUAUUGUAUUAAUGUUUACAUGAAUUUUGAAAUUUUAAAUUUACCAAAUUGAAUAUGAUAUAGAAAUCAAGUGGAACAGUAUUUGUGCAUGUGAAAAUUCAAUUGAUAAGAUUCACAUGCUAUUAUAACUUAAUAAAAUAAUAAGAAUUCCACAUAUCUAUUUUUAUUCUCAAAUCAAUCCAUCGUUUCAUCUCUAGUUCACCAAAGCCCUAACACGAAUAAUCUUUCCUGAAAAUUUCCUCUAAUAUUUUUUGAAGCUUUAGUAAGUUAUAAUGUUAAUUUAUUAUAAUGCUCUCUUAACUUAGUGAAAAAAUAUUUAUUUUUUUCAGAUAUGUAGUGAAGUGACCUAUGCGCAUGUCGCGUUAUCAAUUUUUGACGUGACACAACUAAUUGGUAGACAUUAAAAUAAAUUAAGAGAAAAAGUCCGGCCAAUUUAUUUAUUUUUUAUGAUUCCUAAACAAUUUAUAAUAUUUAUUAGAACUGAAUUUUUUAUAAAAUUCAGUGAUUUAGGUGUCAUUUAGAUACAUGUAAAAAACAUAAUUGUACAGUUCCAAAUGAGACCUAGAUCACUGAAUUCUAUAAAAAUUUCAGUUUCAAUAAAUAUUAUAAAUUGUUUGGGAGUCAUAAAAAAAAUUGUUAAAAUUUUUUAUGAGAAAGUGUUCAUGGUAGCAAUAUUUAAUGAAGCCUUAUUUUAAACAAUAAGUCCAUUUUUAAUGUCUAGCUAAAAAAUUUCUUAUCUAGAUUUCUCAGCUCAAUUCACCACCGUUCACAAACCUUAAGCUGUUGUUUGAUACAUGUCAUCUUAGCUCCUAAUCCUUAAUAACAUAGAUUUAUAUUUGAUAAUCUUAAUUUUUUUUCAUAAAUUAGAAAGUAGACCUGAUAAACAGGUGAGACAACGAUUAAAAGCUCGAUUUUUAUUGGGUUACAAAUGUAAAUACCAUGACCACAAUAAUGUGUACAAGAUAAUAAAUUCAUGAAAAAUGAUAUUUGUUUAUAAAAACCAUCAUUUAUAAAAUAUAUUUUUAAUUUUGGAUCCCAAGGAAUAUUUAAAAUUAUCAUAGGUAGUAAUUUCGUAGACAAUAUUUUAAUUUUAAAUUUAUUACUCUUUAUAAAGUUCAUUAGCAGUUGAAAGAACUUAUGAAGUAGUCUAGAUUUUAAAGUUGUAAAUAAAUAUUAUAAAAAUCAAAAAAGAAAGAAAAUAUAUACAAAUGAUUCUUCACAUUAAAGGUGAGACUCCACAAUUCUUUGUUUAAACUGUGUUAAUUUGAAUUAGGUUGUGUUUAAUUUCUUAUCAUUUGUUAAUUUGAGCUUGAAUCUAGAUAGUAGUUUGAAGAUGAUGCAGCAUCAUAUUAGUAUUAGCACGAAAUAAGAAAUAAAGGCUUGUGAGAAGUAUAUUGACAAAUACUAAUCUAAUUAGUUAAAGAAAAUUGCUCCAUCUAACACCCAACCCAAGAGCAUGCAUUCAAUGUUGCUAUAUAUAAGAGCAUCUCCAAACAAAUAGACAAACAUAUAAAUAUUCUUUUCGCUCUUAAAUCUAUAACCUCCUUUCUACUCUUCAAAUCUAUAAUUAAAGGCUAAAAAUAUUUAUUAUAUAUGUUUGAUAGGUCUGAUGUAUAGCUCAUUAGAUUGAAAAGACUGAUGACGCACAAAAUAUGAAAAUAACAAAUAAUACUCUUUAAAUUAUCACGUAGGUCAACAAAUAUUAAUUUGAAAAAUAUUUUUUACUCCUACUCUUGGAGAUGCUCUAAUAAGGUCAAAUGUAUGAGUAGAGAGACAAGAUGUACAAGCGAUGAAGGCUGUUGGAAAAAACUAUAAACUUAAUUUAGCUGCUUAUAAUGAGUUGCCUUUUUCAAAUGUUUUAAUCUUCUAGUACGUAGUUCAUUGUAUAUAUUAUUAUCCACUACUACCAGCACCUCCACCACCAUUUGUCCCAUUGCUCUGCUACAGUGAGCAAAAACAUGACUUAAUUUGGCCUUCCUUCAAACUACCUGCUGGAUCCUGUUUCCAUGAAGAGCCGGAAAUAUUAUUUAUCCCCAUAUUCAUUCUGUGAUUACGCAAAAUAUUAGAAGAGCCGGCCGGAAACUGGUGUUUUUAAAUAAUGAAUAUUUGUUCACGAGGAAAACUAUAUUUAUUUAGCUCCUUUGGUAUAUGGUUCAUGAUGUUAUAAACCUCUAUUUUCCUUUGAAUGAGACAAAUAUAUAGUAGCAUAAUUCAUACUUGAGAGAAUAAGGAAUAUAUAUAUAUCAAAAAGUGGAUAUAGAACAAACGUUAUUAUUCCAUCAAACGUAUAUAUAUACAUAUUUAUUUCUAGUGUUUUGUUGCAGUUUGUGACAAUUUGAGUGAUUAAUCUCGUUGAAGAAAAUUUGAGGAAUUUCUGAUGCAUUGGUUUGAAGAUUCAGCCCUGAGAUGGGCGGCUGUGCAAGGAAUUAAUCUACUCGAUCCAGAUGUCUCAAAUUAAACCGUCGUAAGUAAAUGAAAGUUGAAUGUCAGUUAGCCUGUGACGAAGGUCGGACGCCUCUUCCUUGAGCCAUGCAUUCUCUAGAAGAACUCUGUCAUGGCUCUCUGAUGCAUCAUUCAACUUGUCUAUGAGGUCCUGAUUCUCAGUUCUUAGACGCAGCACCUGUGACCAGAGCUCAUCUAGUUGUUUCUGCUUCCGCAUCCUUGACCUGCGAGCAGAUUCUCUAUUAGAAAUCAUCCUCCUUAGCUUUCUCUCGUCGAUGAUGCUAAGCUGAAGCUCAUGAUCAUCUCCUUCGUCUGAGGUUGAGUUAUUGCUGAUACACGAGGGCUGCGGAGUGAACUCAUGGACGGAAAGAGAGGUUUGAAAAUUCGGAAAGUUGUUUAAGAAGCUGCUGAAAGGGAGUGAUGGCAUGCUAUUAUCCUGCAUCAACCCAAAAUUAUUUGCAAAAUGGGUUGAUUUUUCUUGAGCUAGGGGGUGGUGGAUUCCUGCGAUCUCGGACCGAAAAAGCAUGGCUAAAUAUGGUUGGUGUAAGAGUGAAUUUGAAGGUUUAUUGUGCAGAUAGUGUAGAGAGGGGAUGGACAGAAUGAGGGGUUUUAUAGGAGGAUUAAACAAACAUAUAUAGUAAUAGCACUUCAAAUGUGUGUGAUGUAUGCAUGUAAUGAUUGGAACUGAUACUAUAUACUACAAGUAUAUGUGUAUGUGUGUGUGUGUGUUCAGUGUUGAUGCAUGUAUAUUUCUUGGAUAACGGAUAACUUGAGUUUUUGGAUAAUCAUUGAUGUAAUUCUUACUGGGGAAGGAAUGUUUGUGGUAAAAAUGAUGAAAAAAGUAGAGCCAAUGAGAAAAUAGUCUUUCAAAAUUCAUUCUAAAUGUUGUCCCCUUCUGAUUGAUGACCAAUUGUGGGUGACUGGAAAAAUUAGAGCCAUACAAUAAAAAUAGAAUUUUAAUUAGUGACCAUUUUUAUAUUAAUUCAGUGACUGGAAGGGCACUUCAAUUUAGAUUCAGGGGACCUAAUGAGUAUUGAAAAUAUUAGUAUUAAUUAUCUCGACAAUUAACAUCUAGUACGUAACUUCAUUUCUUCCAUUUUUUUACUUUUUAUAUUAUCAUGUUAUUACUAUUAUAUUUUUAAUCAAUCUUAAAAUUAAAAUUAAAAAAAUAUUAUUAAAAAUCUUCGUUUUAUAAAUAUAUCUACAAUAACAUUAAAAAUAGGAUGACUACUAAGGUUGAGUAAUACCAAUAAAACUAUUUUGUUCAGUUUCGUUUGAAGUUCUAUUAAUAUUACAAGAAUGCUCUACUCCAUAUAAUUAGCACUUGGCAAUGAUAAUUACCAGAAGUGCUGAAAUGUACUCGGCAUCUUUUAGGUUCUAAAUUCUGUCUCUUUCACACCAAAUUAACUAGCCGUCACCACAGCUUCUCACGUCUCUCUCUCUCUCUCUCUCUCUCUCUCUCUCUCUCUCUCUCUCUAACAUGCAUUCUUAUUAUAUAUAAUUAAGCAUAAUUAAGAUCGUGGUCAAUUAUUAUUCGGUAAUGGUUUAUAAUUAAUUAAUACAAGGAAGAAGUCAAUAUAUAAUACUGCCCUUGUAUGCUUUUAAAGGGUCAUUGUCAUUUAUUAGUAUUUCUUUGAAGAAUAAUUAUAUAUAUAUAUAUAUAUAUAUAUAUAUAUAUAAUUAUUCUAUUAUUCUUGAAAAAUGGAUCAAGAAAAGUGUAGACAAAUCUCAGAGGUAGCAACGUGCAACCGAAUUGAAGAUGUUCUAUAUAUUUAUAUUUAUAUGCAUGCAUGCUAGUAUUAAUUAUUAUAUUAAUAAACAGUUCGAUAUAUAUUAAUUCCACCCCUAGUACGUACUACUAUUAUGUUAUUUUAUAUGUUUAAUUGGUGAUUACCCACUAACCAAAUUAAACAUCCCUUUGGUGCAACUUGAUCCAACAAGAGAAAACUAAGAAUCCGGCCGGAACCGCAAGGUUCCACGCAAUCCUUGAAAUAUUUAAUUUAAAGGCUUCUACUAUUCUAUUCUCUAGUCAGUAGUCAUGUACUGCAUGCCUAAUCAAAUAAUUUUAGUUAAAACCCCCCACUAAUUAAAACAUCAUCAGCUAAUGGUGGAUUCCCUUUUUAGAUAUAUAUAUAUAUAUAUAUAUAUAUAUAGAGAGAGAGAGAGAGAGAGAGAGAAAUUAACGUUGAUCGAGAAUACCAAAUGUGUGCCAUAAAUCCCAUACAUUUUUAAAGAGUAAAUAUUAAUAUUACAUUUUGAACAAAGAGUAUUAAUUAUUUUUUAAAAAAAUAAUUUACUCCAUAAUAUUAAUAAUUUUAUUGACUAAAAUCUUAUUUACUUUUAAUAUUCAUUCGUUCGUGUUUGUAAUUUAAUUUUUUCAUUACUUGAACAAAUCACCUAAUAAAAACUAUGUUUAAUUACCUAUAAUUUUAAUAAGUUUUUUUCCCUUCCAGCUACACGUGUCUGCCAUGUGAGGUUUUGAAGAAAAUUUUUAUGAGACCUCUUGUCACCUUAACAAUGUCCCUUCUCAAGUUUCCAUCAAGAACUAAUUUGCAAGCUUUAGAAUUUGGUAGCAUCACUUAAAUUGUACCCGCGUGUGGGUUUUUCUCCACUUUUCCCCCACCCAAACAACCCAAUUAGUUAUAAUCAAGUAUACUUUCUUUUUUAUCAUGACGAUUAGGUCAUUGUGUUGCGAUAUAUAAUAUAUAUUGGUUCUAAUAGGAUAAGCUCAUCAUCUUAAUACCCUCUUGCGCGUCUUUUAUUCAUCAAUACUCGUGCAAUUUUAUAUGUUGAUUUUUUAAUUACGAAUUACGUAGAUAAUUAUAUAAUUGAUAAUAUUUUAACGAUAUAUUUGAAAUAAUAUGCUAAUUUUAUAAUUCUAUUUAUUGAUAUAUAUAUAUAUAUAUAUAUAUGGAUUCCAUUCAUAACAACCGGUUGUUGGGAGCAACUCAUUUUUGGCCAGCCGCUACAGCCUGUAGCGGCUUAUAAAAAAAAUAAAAAAAUUANNNNNNNNNNNNNNNNNNNNNNNNNNNNNNNNNNNNNNNNNNNNNNNNNNNNNNNNNNNNNNNNNNNNNNNNNNNNNNNNNNNNNNNNNNNNNNNNNNNNAUAUAUAUAUAUAUGUUAUAAUUGUACGUGGCAAAGACUCUUAAUUUUUUGGCCACAAGAUUAAUAUAUAAAUAUUCAGUUCUUAAUUACCAUCUUUCCAGAUGUUAUUAGAAUAAUGAUACGAUAAUAAUUAAUGGCAAAAAUUGUUGUUUAAGGUUGUUUAUAUAGUUGGUCAGAUUAUAAUGAUAAUGAUAAUGAUAAAUUGUUCAUGGACGACAAUGCUUUUGUAAGUCCAUUCUUUAAGUGUGCAUUAAACUUCAAUUCUUUAACUUUGUUUAUGGUAAUGGCCAAUGGGAUUCGAUAAUUAUGGAUUAUUUAAAAAUAUUUUAUGUGGACAUCGUGCUCCUCUAGGCUCUAAUUAUAUAUGCUUCCACUUGUCAAGUUGUAUAUAGAGACUCUAUUUGUGAUCAGAUUUUAGAAUUCAUGGCCCUCCUUACGUUACGUACCUUACUAAUUAAGUUUGUCAAUUCCUAAAUUUGAUUGUCCUCCACGGCAAUCAAAUUUAGAAAUUGGAUUUAAUGCAAAAAAAAUUUAAUCAAGAUCGACUUUAUUAAAUCAAAUUAAUUUUUAAUAACUGAAGUUGUUAAAAGUCCGUGUAUAGCAGAGCCAUAGGCAUGGUGUCAUACAUUUGGUAAUAUUUCUCGUCUCACCACUUAAAAUAUCUUACACACUCUUUUUCAUGAAACAUGUUUUUUUUUUUGCCAAUAUUUUAUUCUAAAAUAAAAGAACUCUAUUUUUAUUUUAUUUUAUUUUAUGAAAUAGGAGUAUAAAAUGACACAUGCAGUGUGCUCAAAUUAAUCGUUACUACAAUUUUACUACAUUGACGUCAUUCUGAAGUUUAAAAUGUACACAUAAAUAUGGAAUAAAAAUAAAUUCUUCAACUUUAUAACUUUGAUGGAUUAAUUUUUGUGGGACAGACCAAUGGAGGACUUGCAAAAGUUUCUAGAAACCAUAGUAUUAAUUAAUAUACGUACAGAGUUUUGCUAAAUUACUUGCAAAAAUAGCUACCUAAUCUUAUAUAUUGUUUGAAUUUUCUUUUAUUAAAGAAGUGGAUGACUAAUACAUUAAGGACUCGUCAAGAACUUAAUUAAUCCUUGAAUCCCACCACGGCCACUACCAGAAACUAAGUCAAUUCUUUAAUGACAUCAACUAUAUACACACAUACAUAUAUAACCGUACGUAUUCUCAAAUUUGUCAUGAUGGAAGUGCUUAUUGCUUUAUUUAUUUAUGGUCAUCUUUGAACCUAAUGGUGUGAAAAUGUCAACUUCAAUGCUUUUUGGUGCUUCCAGUAAUGGCCUUGUGACACUAAGUUGGGCUUUGAAUUCUUUUUAUGAAAGUGAGGGAGGGAGUAAAUUGAGGUAUAAGUGCAGAAAAUGAAAUGAAAUCAUUAAUUAGUUAAUGGGUUCAUAUAUGCACUCAUUUUCUUCAAAACUAUUACUCUCUCCCUCCCUAAAUAACUGACGUUUAAGAAUUCUUUGCAACAAUUAAAAAAAAUUAAACAUGACUCUUUUGUCCUUAAUAAAUAAAUUAACCAAACAAGAAAUAAUUACUCCACCACGUUAAAAUCUUAUCAGUUCUAUUUGUUGCCAUAAUUGUUGAUAGAAACAAGGAAGAAGAUGCAAGGCCAAUGGCUCAUCCAAAAUUUUUUGCCGCUAAAUUUUUGCUUCAAUUUUCUUUUUCGCUCUAAUAUAUUGUUGAUACCAGCAUAAAGAAAGAAGCUUGAAGACGUCAAUUGCUUGACUUCUGCUACUCACUUAGGAAGCUUGAAGACGUCAAUUUUUUUCCUGUAUCUGGUGAAGACUUCUGCUACUUAUUUAGGAAUCCAUGGAGAUGAACAAUUGGCUUCCUAAUCAUAGCAAGGAGGCAUUAGGAGACAGAGUUUGAAAAACAAUCAAAUUCAUCCCCAACCACAUGAACUAUACAGAAACUAAGAAACCUGUAACCAAAUUUCAAAUGACAAAGUCAUUUUUCUAGCAACCAAAUCCUCUCAAAUUGAAGUUUGUCAUUCUCUCAAAUUGAAUAGAUUGGUUCUUGGUUUGGGGCAAGUGAUAUUGCUAUAUCCUAUAUUUAUUCAGCAAGACAAUGCAAGAACUCAUAUUGCUUUGAAUGAUAAGGAAUUUUGUCAAGCUGCUGCACAAGAUGGGUUUAAUAUUUGUUUGAUGUGUCAACCUGCAAAUUCUCCAGAUUUGAAUGUUUUGGAUCUCGGAUUUUUCCAUGCCAUUCAAUCAUUACAACAGAAAGAGCCUAUUAAAAAUAUUGAUGAGCUGGUAAAUGCUGUGGUGAAGGCUUUCAACGAUUAUCUUACAUUGAAGUCUAACCGUAUAUUUUUGUCAUUACAACUGUGUAUGAUAGAAAUAAUGAAGGCCAAAGGUUCGAACAAGUACAAGAUACCACAUAUCAAAAAAGCAUUGUUGGAAAGAGAGGGCAGCCUACCGACUCAAAUAAAAUGUGAUUUUGAAUUGGUACAAGAAGUUAUGAAUUAUCCAACUCCAUUUGAUGUAGGUAUGACUUGAAUUUUUGUAUACUAAUAUCUGUAAUUGUCCUUAAAUAGGUGUUGGUUGAUUUAAUUGGUUCUCACAUUGUUCUACAGACUAACUCAAGUGCUUUUCAAUUUUAAGUUAGAGGCCUUUUGUAUGCAGUUGCCAAGAGCUUCUUAAUUUUGGUACUACAGACUAACUCAAGUGCUUAAUGUUGGUGUUUUUAUGUUGAAAAUGUUAUUAAGACUGCUUAAUUUGGUUUUAACAAUGUUGCUUAAUUUUGGUUUAUUCUGGUGGAUGCAUUCUCUUCAAUCUACUGUCUUGAUCAUUGUGUUCUUAUAUUGAAGUUAAAAUUCUGCUGGUGUAUGAAUUUUGCUGAAAACUUCUUUUAAAAAUAAUGUAUGAUUCUAACAGGAGCAGUUGGGAAUUUUAAGUUAUAAAUGUAUUUACAAUCUAUAGUAGAUUUGCUAAUGAAUAGGCAGUUGCCAACCGACCUGGUGCAUUCACUUCUUAUCAGUCCCAAACUUCACAAGAAAUACAUUAUAGAUAGUACAAUUUUUUGCUUUGGAUGUCAUUACUAAUUUCAAUAUGCGAAAUUUAGUUGUAUUUCCACUAAUUCAAUGAUUUUUCACUCGGUAUACAGGAUGCAUGUUGAGAAUGUAAUUUUAUGGCAAUCUGGCUAUACCAUAAAAAUAAUUCCAUGAAGCCUUACAUUUCAAGGUUACACACACCAGGAUUCAAAACCACAAGAAUGCAAAACACACGCCGAAGCACAAAAAAAUACAACAGCAGAUGGAUGAAAACAGUAUCUACUGUAUCUUCCUUCAUGUUCUAUUUUCAGGAAGCAACUUUAGAUGGGGGCAUGACUAAAGCAUUGCAAUGUUGACAUAAGGUUUAAGACAUGUGAACCAUCAGCCAAUUUUAAUGUGUUGUUGCUAAUGAGAAUAGAACUCUCUCUUGUAAAUCUUUUCUAUUAGAUGCUCAUUCAUGAAACUCAAUAAAAGAGCAGAGCUACAAAUAGAUUUUAAUGUAUAAAAUUAUUAUAUAAAUAUUAGACUCAUUCUGAUGGAUUCCUAUGCUUUCUAAGCUUCAUUUUCUUUGUGCUACUAUUCGAGAUAAUAAUUUUGGUAAGCUUGAAUAACAUCCUCAAGCUUCACUUGAACAUGAAGCCAUUAGCAAUAAGAUAGUCAAGACCAUUAAAGAUAUGGCUACAAAAAAUCACCAAACUCAUCCUCCAACUCAGUACCCUUCAAAUGCUAAGUUGCUUACUUGAGAUAACAGUAAUUCUUCACAUUAACCUGAAAGAAAAUUGAAAAUUCUGACAUGAAAGAGGAAUAUGACAAGGUCAAGGCUAUGCUUUCAAACAAACACAUAAUACGAUCUCCGAAUACAGGCCAUGCAAGCAUUUGAUAAUAUACUCUAUUUUUUUUCAUUCACUAAAUGAUGAUUUUCAACAAACAGAGAGUUCAUUCAAAAAUUUAACAUUACAACUGACAUGGUUAAUAAAAUUUUGAAAGAUACACUUCAUCUUCAUCUUCAAUUUGGGUUUACAAUAUACUCUGUUUUUUUAUAUUCUCUCUCUCUAAAAUUCCUGUUCUACAAAAUACUCCAUGUUGUUCUCGAAACUCUCUUCCUGCCAGGAAAGUAAAUAGAUAUUAUUAGAUUCGCUAUAUUCAUUGUAUAGUAUAAUUCCCAUAUAAUCCCAUUUACCUAACUUAGCCUAACUAUCCUACGAUAGUCCCACAAAUCAAGCAGAAUAGAAUCCUUCCCAUAUAUUAAGGAUUCUCAUGUAUCAAUUAGUUUGUAUAACGAAUCCUUCCCAUAUAUUAAGGAUUCUCAUGUAUCAAUUAGUUUGUAUAAAUAUUAACCUUAAAGAAAUAAAAUACUCAGGGAAAUAAACUCUUUUAUGGUAUCAAAGCCUCUUCUUCUCCAAAUCCCCUUCUUUAUUCUUCCCCAUGGCUACCCUUCACCCUGCCCUUGCUAUAAACAACAUCAAAAAUCAAAUUCCCGUCAUCUUAGCCAUGGAUAAUGAUGAAUACGAUACCUGGGUGGAGUUGUUCCGUCUCCAUUGCACUGCCACCCUGGUCCUCGACCACAUCCUGCCCCCCGCCCGAUCCACCGACCAAUCCCCCUACGGACCCCGCUAUCUAGGCUCGUCUGGAUGCCGUCGUCCUCCAGUGGAUUUACGGAACUAUCUCCAAUGAUCUGCUCCACACCAUCAUUGCCCCAAAAUCCACCGCUCGACAGGCGUGGAUAAGUCUGGAAAAUAUAUUCCAGGAUAACAAGGCCACCCGUGCUGUAAGUUUGGAGCAGGAAUUCAACACUAUCCACCUCAAAGACUAUCCGUGUAUCACUGCAUAUUGUCAGGCCCUGAAAAAGCUCUCUGACCGUCUCACGAAUGUCGGCGCUCCGGUCACAAAUCAACGACUGGUCCUCCGGCUCAUCGUCGGCCUCAACUCCAACUACGAUGGCAUUGCUACUUUCCUUUCUCAAAGCUCGCCCCUACCAACAUUCUCCGAGGCCCGUUCACGAUUAAUCCUUGAAGAAACACGAAAAGCUAAUCAGGCUGCCAUGGAGGCAACCACCGCAGACACUGCCUUAUAUCAUCAGUCCCCGCCAGACCCGAAACUGGACAAUUCGUUCACCCACAAACGUCCAAAUUUCCGCGGAUCUGGCCACGGUAAGGGCCGUAACAAUCGCCGCCAGGGUCGUGGGGGUGGCCACGAUGCAUCCUCUGGUGGCUCCUCUGCUUCUGCCAUUUAUCCCUAGGCUCCAUAUCAGCCGUGGAGAUGGGGGUGGGCCCCACCUUGCCCCUACCCCACCUCUGUCAAUCCGCGCUCUCCACCGAGCCGCUACCAUGGCAUACUCGGCCGAGCACCGCAACCCCAGGCCCAUGUUGCCUCAGCUGCUGCUCCCGACGGUCCUUCCCCGACAGACAUCGAGGCUGCGAUGCACACUUUGGGUUUAACUCCUCAGGACCCGAAUUGAUACAUGGACACCGGUGCAACUUCUCACAUGACUCCGUCUCAAGGUAAUCUCUCAUCUUAUUUUAAUUUGAGCACUAAAAGAAAUAUAAUAGUCGGUAGUUGCCAAGGAAUACCAAUUCGGGGCUACGGACAGGUCACAUUACCUCCCAUUUACCCUCGCCUUAAACUACAUAAUGUUUUACAUGCCCCCAAGCUCAUUAAAAAUCUGAUUUUCGUUCGCCGUUUCACUACCGAUAAUAACGUAACAAUUGAAUUUGACCCUUUCAGUUUUUGUGUGAAGGAUAUCCGGACGAGACAACCAAUCUUGAGAUGUAACAGCACUGACGACCUAUACCCUCUACUACCCUCCCCUACCACCCAACGCAACCCGACAGCCCUAACCACCACAGCUCCGUUUUUAUGGCACGAAUGUCUGGGACACCCGGGGCCAGCUAUUCUUCGUUCAUUGCGUCAAAAUAAAUUAAUUUCUUGCACCUCUAGAAAUAGUUUAUCUAAGUGUCAGUCUUGUAUUUUCGGGAAACAUAUUAAGUUGCCAUUUAUUGAUUCUUCUAGUCAAACAUUGUCUGCUUUUGAUAUUAUUCACAGCGACUUAUGGACCUCACCAGUUUUGAGUACUGCAGGACACAAAUACUACUUAGUAUUACUUGACGAUUAUACAAAUUUCUUGUGGACCUUUCCAAUUGGCCAAAAAUCCCAGGUUUAUCCCAUAUUCUUAACUUUCGCAAAAUAUAUAAACACACACUUCAAUAAACAAAUAAAAAAUUUCCAAUGCGACAAUGGCCGAGAAUAUGAUAACUCAAAUUUUGCCCAGUUUUGUAAAAACCACGGAAUGAGUUUCCGUCUCUCCUGCCCCCACACAUCAUCUCAAAAUGGUAAAACCGAACGUAAAAUCCGCUCCAUUAAUAAUAUCAUCCGCAGAUUACUCCACUGCGCAUCCAUGCCCUUUUAUUUUUUGGCAUUAUGCGCUCCACAUGGCAACCUACAUAUUUAAUAUACUUCCCAGCAAGCUUCUUGCUUACUCCUCCCCAACCCAACUCUUAUAUCAACCCACACUUUCCUACACACACCUCCGUAUUUUCGGCUGUUUAUGCUAUCCCCUAUUCCCACCCCCCACCAUACAUAAACUCCAAAAACACUCCACCCCGUGUGUGUUCUUAGGAUAUCCCCCCAAACAUCGUGGAUACAUGUGCUACGACCUCUCUAGUGGCAAAAUUAUCAUAUCCCGCCACGUGAUUUUUGAUGAGUCCAAUUACCCCUUUGAGGCUGCCCCGUCCGCUGCCCCCACUCCACUCGCCAGAGUCGAUGAUGACCCUUCCCCUCUAUUACAUGAGCUCAUUGACCCCACCUCGGGUGCCCCAUGUACGACACCACCUGUCUCCCCCACUCGGACAGAUCCACCGCGGCAUGACUCCCCACCCCCUGUACCAUCAAAUACCACCACAACCUCCCCUAUCACAACCCCAUUCCCUCCCUGGACAAUGACCACUCGCGGUAUGCGCGGCAUUUUCAAACCAAAAUAUCCCCUUAACUUAUCUAUUAUCUCCAGCCCUUCCCCCAUACCUCGUAACCCAAUCAGUGCCUUGUCCGACCCGAAUUGGAAAUAGGCCAUGCUCGACGAGUACAAUGCUCAUAUUAUUAAUAAGACUUGGGUAUUAGUUCCGAGACCACCUAAUGUGAAUAUAACUCGGUUCAUGUGGGUUUUUCGGCACAAAAAGAAAUCUGACGGUUCUUUUGAACGGCAUAAAGCCCGUCUUGUUUGUGAUGGCAGGUCCCAGCAGGUUGGCAUCGAUUGUGAUGAGACGUUCAGCCCAGUUGUCAAACCGGCCGCCAUUCGUGUAGUUCUCAGUCUUGCUCUGUCUCGAUCAUGGACUAUUCACCAACUUGACGUCAAGAACGCUUUCUUACAUGGCCAUUUGCAGGAAACAGUCUAUAUGCAUCAAACUCCUGGUUUCCGUGAUCGUCACCAUCCCGACUAUGUCUGCCUAUUGAAGAAAUCCCUUUAUGGCCUCAAACAGGCUCCACGAGCUUGGUAUCAGCGAUUUGCUGAUUUUGUUUCGACUAUUGGCUUCACUCACAAUCGGGUGAUCAUUCCCUAUUUAUUUAUCAUAAUAAUAAUGACACCGCCUAUCUGCUCCUCUAUGUUGAUGACAUCUUGCUUAUUACCUCAUCUGACAAGCUCCGCCAGUCAAUCAUGUCUCGUCUUGCCUCCGAAUUUGCCAUGAAAGACUUGGGUUCCUUGAGCUAUUUUCUAGGUAUCGCAGUAACUCGACAUAAGGAGGGCCUUUUCCUGAAUCAACGCCAAUACGCCAAGGAAUUAAUUGAGCGCGCAGGUAUGACCGACUGUAAGCCAUGUGCCACUCCCAUUGACACCAAACCAAAACUUAGCUCGGUCUCUGGAUCACUUUAUAGCAAUCCCACAUUGUAUCGUAGCCUUGCAGGUGCCUUGCAAUAUUUUACAUUCACCAGGCCAGACAUCUCCCAUGCCGUUCAACAGGUAUGCCUACACAUACACGCACUAAGCAAUGACCAUAUGGCUAUUCUUAAACGUAUCAUCCGCUACGUCAAAGGAACAAUAACUUUCGGCCUUCACCUUUACGCCACCCCUGCUACUGAUCUUGUAUCUUACACCGAUGCCAAUUGGGGCGGCUGCCCAGACACCAGAAGAUCAACAUCCGGGUAUUGUGUUUUCUUGGGCGAUAACUUGGUCUCUUGGUCCUCUAAACGCCAACCAACCAUGUCCCGCUCCAGUGCUGAAGCUGAAUAUCGGGGCGUUGCCAACGUCGUCUCUGAAUCCUGUUGGCUCCGAAAUCUACUACUUGAGCUCCAUUGCCCCCCACGAAAAGCUACAAUUGUUUAUUGUGACAAUGUGAGCGCCAUUUACCUAUCCGGCAACCCUGUCCAGCACCAAAGAACUAAGCAUAUUGAAUGGAUAUCCAUUUUGUCCGUGAACAGGUUGCUCGGGGUCAAGUUCGUGUUCACCACGUACCGUCCCGUCAUCAAAUUGCUGACAUCUUCACUAAAGGUCUUCCGCGCGUGCUUUUCAAUGAUUUUCGGGACAGUCUCAGCGUUCGUGAACCUCCCGCUUCGACUGAGGGGGUGUAUUAGAUUCGCUAUAUUCAUUGUAUAGUAUAAUUCCCAUAUAAUCCCAUUACCUAACUUAGCCUAACUAUCCUAUGAUAGUCCCACAAAUCAAGCAGAAUAGAAUCCUUCCCAUAUAUUAAGGAUUCUCAUGUAUCAAUUAGUUUGUAUAACGAAUCCUUCCCAUAUAUUAAGGAUUCUCAUGUAUCAAUUAGUUUAUAUAAAUAUUGACCUUAAAGAAAUAAAAUACUCAGGGAAAUAAACUCUUUUAGAUAUGAUUAAUAAAAAUUAGGGAGAUAGAUCUUCAACAUAUCCAUGAUAACAUCUUGAAAUUUUUCUUCACAAACUUCUUCGGCUACAUUUGGAAACUUGUUCAAAUCGAAUCCGAGAUCCGCAGGUUGAUUCAAAUCAAAGUUUCUUGGAACUUUGAUAUUUUCAGAAUCAAAAUUCACGAAAUCUCCAUUUUCUUGCAUUUUCAAUCUAUGGAGUACUGUGUUUUAAGAGAAGAAUUGCAGGUAUGGUUUCUUAGUUCCAUACAGGUCAAGCAAUCAAUCCACUCUUGGAAACCAACGAGAAUGUCAAGAGCUUUUUUUCUUUUUUGAACCAGAACCAGAAGACGCUAGUACUAAGAAGAAAGGGUAGUAUUGGAAUAAAAGUGGACAAUUUAGCUUUAAACUUUUAAAACAUCUAUUAUUUUAAGAAAAAUAAAAACUCCUUAAACGUCAGAUAUAAUAGGAUGGAGGGAGUACUACUUUUUUCAUUGACCGAGUGCUGAUAUUCAUCAUCCAUCAAAAUAUAUAGUCCUUUGAAUUCUAGUCUCCAAUACUCUGGGAAAAAAAAUAUCAGCUGAAGAAAAAAAAUACAAAGUGCAUGCAUGACUCACAUGUUACAACUUAUUUUAAAUUUGAUCAUAAAAUGGAAAGUUUUUAUUUAUUUUUGCCGUGAUGUUUAUGAAUGGUUCCAAAUAUUACAAAGAUUUUUAUCUUUGAACUGUUGGAGAUGGGGUUACUUCGAUGGUUCGUUCAAAUAUUUUUAUUUCACAAAUUACUACUAUUUCAGAUACGUCAUGGUGUAGGAUUUUUUGGAUACGCACACGCACAUAAAAUAAAUACAAAACUUCCUAUUCCCCAUCUUCGUCGGUAUAACAAUACAUUCUACCAGGUACAUAUCAGCAAUAUGUCAUCUGCAGUAUAAUAAUAUAUUCACAGUAUAAUUAACUUACCCUUAACCUGACCCUGACAUAUUGCCAAGUGUUUGAGAUUAAUUACUUAGCUAUAACCUUGUUCGACGAUAACUUAAAUGAUACAGACGGAGGAGUUAACUUACCUCCUCCUUAAUUCUUGUUCUUAAUCUUAUCCUUGGACCCUUCACGAGGUUUUUGUGUUGUUCCUUCCCCUAUCUCUUAGGACUUAGGAGUCAUUAUUAGGGUUGGCUUCCUUUAGCCUACUUUAUCUAGAUGCAUGAGAAAGCUCCAUCUAAUAACAGACUCAAUAUUGACGUCUUGCUUCCAAAGCAUAGUGCUUACAAUUAUCACCGGACAUGUGUAUGUUGUGUUGCAGGCCGGUUAGUGAGUCUAGUCCUCACCUUUACCUUCAUUGUCCUGUAAAAUGGGAGAUUAAUUUGGCAUAACAAUCAUCCGCCGAAUCACAAGUCCCCCCUCGUACGUAUUUUUCUUCAUUUCCUCCACCAGAUGCCUUUAACAAAGACCACCCUCCUGCACACACAUGUACAUACAUAUAUAUAUAUAUAUAUAUAUAUAUAUAUAUAUAUAUAUAUAUAUAUAUAUCAUAAUAUGAAUAAUUAAAGAGAGAGAGAGAGAGAGUAAUUAAUUACCAGGUACAAGAAGAAUCAUGAGGAUGAUCAAGUAAGCGAACUUGUUGUAUGAAGCCUUCAAGGCCAUAUUUUUGUAUAUAUGCUACAUACCAAAAAAUAAUGAAGUUCAUAUAUAUGGAGUAUAUCGCUUGAUGCACGAAUGAAUAUGUAUAAGGAGAGCCAAAACGUCGUCCUCUAUAAUUAAAUGAUGAAAAUAAUUAAGCUGAAUUUCCUAACCCUAUUAUAUAUAUAUAUUCACUUAUACGUGAAAUAAAAAUCAUUAAAGAUACUCUCCACUCUGCAAAAAGAUAUUCAAUUAUUUUUUUUCUAUUUAAUUUACAAAAAGAUAUAUAUUUGUGUAUCAAGCAAUAUAUAUGAACUUCAUUAUUUAAUUUGAGAAUAUUCAUUCUGCAAAAUACGUUGCCCUUGGUCAUGAUGUAUACACCGGUCAAAAUUUGGUCAAACUUAAAUUGUUUUUUUUUUAAUUUUUCUUAUCCUAGCUGAUGUUAUAAAAAAAGUUGUUUAGGACUAUAAAUAAGUACGCUUAUUAGGGGUGCUUGUGAACAAAUACGUUUUGUUUAAUUGAGAAUAUUAUUUUUCGUUCUCUUUAUGAGUUCUUUAUCUUUUUUUGCGGAUUCAAGCUAGGAUUUUUAUUCUGUUCUUGUUGGUACGAUAACCUUCAAAUCACUUUUGUGUUAGAGCGUUACAAUUUAACCAUUAUUAAUUCUGCUACGUAUGAAAGAUAAAUUAAAUAAUUUAAAUUUUAUUGUAGGGAUAAUAUGAUAAACUAAGUCAAUAUAUUAAUGCUUUCUUAAAAUAUAAAAACGAUAAAUAAAAAGGAACGAAUUAAAUUUUACUCUAUAGAAAAACAAAUACAAAAAGAACGGAGAGAAACUAAUUAAUAUAGACGUAUUUCGUGGGAAACUGACAUGUUAGAAAAUUAAUUAAGAAAGCUAAAACUCAAUAUUUAAGGUAAGCUAUAAAUUUAUGUUAUAUUUAUUUUUAAAUUAAUUUAAAUAAACGUAUUUAAUCGUGUUAAACGUGUCAAUCAGCUAAUUAUGCAUGUGAUUGACACAUUUAAAUUUUGUGGUAAACGUGUUGAUAUGUUUAUGACAUAAAAAUUGUUUACACUUAAUACUAACCCUCUCUAAUUGUAUGUUGUGUUAGUGUCGAGUUACCGUGUCAUGUUAGAAAUUGUCACUCCUCAUAUAAUUAAAUAUGAUAUGCAUGGUGAAUAGUAUGAUUUAAAACAGCAGUUCAUCAUAGAAACACAAGGACAUCAUACAUUAGAAUUUAUGGAAUUGGUAGUAUCAACAUAAAAAAGUGUUCUAUUUUUUGAAAGAGUACUGUAGAAGACUGAAAUAUAUCAAAUAUAUUAUGUUUUAAUGAAAAAAAUUACAAGUGAUUCUUGUUGAAUGAAAAAGAGGCCGGUGUCAUUGAUUCUUGUUGAAUGGGGGAUAAGACCAUAUGAGGAUUGAAAACAAUGUUUGGAACCUAAAAAAAACUGUCUUAUGAACAUAUCCACACUUUAUAAAGAAUUAAUCAAGCGUAAUUAAUUGACCAAUUGUUAAGUAAAGUGGGCAAAUUAAUUAAUCCUUACAUAAAUAAAAGCUAUAUAUAUAUAUAUAUAUAUAUAUAUAUAUAUAUAUAUAUAUAUAUAUAUAGAAUAUUGGACAAGACGGGGCAAAAAUUUGCAUAAACAAUAUAAAAAAAAUAGAGAAUUAAUAUUUUUAUUUUACAGUGAGAUCUAGUGAGGAGGAAUUUACGCAAUUAAUAUUUUUAUUUGUAAAAAUAUCAAUUAUCAAAGUCAAUAGAUUGUAAUAACUCGCGUUUGUUAUAAAACUUAACAUCAUCAUAAUCCAUAACCAUAGCCAUAGAGAGACUCACGCACAUAAAAAACGAAGAAGAAAAAGGAGAGGUAGAAAUUAUAACAGCUGGAUUUUAUAUAUUGGUAAAUUGAUUGAUAAUUAAUAGUGAUGACAUGGAUCAGAAACACGCGCAGGCGUUUCGUAUACACAUUGGAGCCAAGGUUCUACCACAGCACUGACGGCAGUCAUUGAGAUCUUGACAUACUAUGUUGCAGUUGCGAAGAAUACCCUCGCACCCAUUCCAAGGUUUGUCGUCAGAGCUGGACGUCAAUUCCGGCGCCGAAUAAUUAUGGCGAUGGUCAACACAUGUCCAGUUGCCUUUCAUAUAUUUGGGAGUCCCUACUUUACAUGAAACUUUGCAUUCGCCGGAAGUUAUACUCUGUGGCCUCAUCCCACUAUUUGCGACUGAUAAACCUGCCCAUGCAAUGACAUACAUACAUGCAAACAUAUAAUUAGUGACAUUCAAAUAAUCUGUCGCUAUUGUAAAUUGUUCACAAAUACUAAUACUAAUAUUUUUAUAUAUAUAUUUAUGUUCGUUAAGAGAGACUAACCAGCAACAAGAAGCAAUAGGGCUGACACGAAAAGCAGCUUAAACGAGUACUUCCCCAUAUGUAUAUCUAUUGCCUAUUGGUGAUGUGAUUUAUAAGCAACUAUGCUAUCAGUUUUACUUAAUUUGCAAUGUUAUACUACUAUAUUAAGAAUGAGUAUGCUCUACCAAGAGGGGAAGAAACAUGAAUAUAUAUAGAGUAAAGGGCAUUAAUUAUUUAGAUUACAAAAACUAUCCAGAUUAUUAUCAAUUAAUGUCAGAUUACAAUAUUUUAUUUGGCAAUUAAUAUUGUCAGAUUAUAAAUAAUAUUGGCUGACCAUAUAAUAAAUAUUGGUUAACGUGUUCUCUAUAACAUUAAUAAAGGUUUUGCUAAAUACACAUUUGUUCAGUUAGCAUCAUUUUGUGCUAUAUAUGACAAUAUCACAAUCUCUUAUUUAAUCUUUAAAAAAAUAUUUUAUUUAUUAUUUUAAUAAAUUAUGGAAGUUUUCAUCUCCAAUAAUGUGAUAUCAGUAGAAAAUUGAUAUUUUCACAAGUAAAAAUAAUAGUUUCACAAAUUUUCUCUCACAUAAAUAAUUAAUGGGUUUCAUUGUGGAAAUAUCAGUUUUUACUUGUAAAAAUAACAAUUCCCUAUCAUUAAUUACUUGACUAUGUAUUGGUUAUGUCUUAAAUAUCAUUUGUCUUAUUUAAUGUUUUGCAGACAUAUUUGAAAAUAAAAAGCGAAUUAUUACUCUCAAGAAAAUUUUGAUAUUUUCAUAAGGUUUCUCUUAUACGAGCGUCGGUCACAUUUAUUAUUCAUGUGAAUGGAACCUACCUUAUAGAAAUAUCAAUUUUUCAUGUACAAAUAUUAAUUCCCAAAAAAAACACUUGAUACGGCCCCCUGCAUUAGUUUAUUUAUUUUAGGAUAGUCUAGUAAUUUUAUUGCGUAUGUUGUUAAAAAAAUAAUAAUAAAUAACUCUCUUAAGAUGGUUUUUCUAUAAAAAAAAAUCAAUAUAUAUUUAUUAGCUAAAUUGACCAUAAUUUGUCUCAUGUCAAUCUUUUUGGUAAUUUUGAACCUUUUUAAAUAUAAUUAUUAUCAAAUUCUCCCUUAGUGUUCUAUUCUUCAUUAUCCAAAUAAUCAUGAAAUGAUCUGGCAUUAGGAUGGGUAUAUAUGAUAUUAAUUACUGCAUUCGUUUAAGUUUAGAGACAGAAAAUAGAAGAUUAAGUUUAAACUUUUUAUAGUUAAAUUGAGAUCUUUUAAAUUAAAAAUUAAUGUAAUUCAUUUAAUUUUUGAAAAUAAUAUAAUUUGUAAUUAAUAGAACAAUUUAAAUAGUUUUCAUGAUUGUAUUAUCUAAUUUUAAAUGAAUUUAUAUCAAUUUAAAAUUUAAAAUAAUUUUAAAAAAUCGCUAUUAAUUCUACGAGGAAAAGAAAAUGAUCAAGGAAUAUUAUUGCAAUCAAGGAAUUCAAAUUUUUUUAAUUUAAAUUCUCUAAUACAUGUUAUUGAGCUCCCUCUCAUAUCAACAGUAAAUGAAUUCCAUAAUAAAUUUAUUGCAACAACACUACUCGGUCCUAAUACACAUCAGCUUACAUUCCGACAUUGCAACAUUACGGAGUAAUUUAUAAUUAGAUUAUGGAAAUUAAGUGAACGUAAAAAACGUUGUUUUCCAUCAUUUUAUUUAUUUUUUUAUUUUUCUAACCACUUAAAACUUCAAGACAAUUAGACCUGACCCAAACCCACGGGUCGCAUAACUCAUCCUCUAAAUUCAAGAGUUUGGACUUAAAUUAAUGUCACCGGGUCUUUUUGACUCCGUCCAUUUAAACCCAACCUGUGGGUGAUCCGAUCCAUUAGUUAAUAUUUAAUAUUAUUUUUACUUAAAAUUUCUCCCAUUAAUAUGCACUAAUAAGUUAACUCUCCAACUAUUUCAUCUUCUCUUUAUAAUUAACCAUCACUCCUUCCUAAUUCUUUUGUCGUUUUGCAACUAUCGGUACUAUUCAUUCUCCAUACAUAAAAAGGUUGACCUUAAGGGCACAUUUUAAGCACUGAAUUCAAAAUAUAAGACCCACUGAAAAAUAAUUUUAAAUAUGUAAAAUAAUAUUUCAAUAAGACCGUAUACAUUUAAAAUUAUAUUUCAAUGAACUUCAUCCCUUAAAUUUCGUGUUUAACACGUGUUAAGAAAAUCCCUUUUUCAUCGUUUUAUAACAAAUUGAGUUUUAUUGUAUAGAAAACUUGGAAGUAAUUUAUGUUUUAUUAUUCAAAAGAAGUUGAAAUAAUUUCCGUUGUAAAAAAUAAUAGGUUCUUUACAAUAAUAUACAAUAAUCACUAAAUAAUUACACUAUUAGUGGAUCUAUAAAAUAAUUAUAAAAAUAGUACAAUUCACAUUAAUAAAGAAACCUAAAAUCAAAAAGAAAUAAUUGUCAUAAUUAAUAAUUCAAAUUCAAAUAUUUGAGAUCUAACAACAAAAACAAAUUCAAAAUAAUAAUUCACCCAAACUAAUAUGAGCAUAGAUCAGAUAGCCCGUCAGUAAGUCCAAUAACCCAAACAAAACAAAUUACUUGUACAUCCGAAACCAUAAAAAUAAAAUUCGAUGUAUUACAAACUUUUCCUUUCUUAACGAAGAGAGAUCAUAACAUUCACCGCCAUUGUAAUCUGGUGCGAACCACAUCAAGUAGAAACCUUCAUCUUCGAAUAUUACAGUGGACUCGCAGAGAAAAUAUUAGUCAAGCUUCAGCAACUGGAUAGAGAAGCAUGGCUAUUUGAUUUUUCACAAUUUUUUCAUGUCCGAAAAUUCCAAUUCCAAUUUCGUGGUCAAAAGAAAAUAAGAACACUGUAUAUGAAAAAGAGAGAUAAGAGAGUGAUGUGUAAUGUAAUGUUAAUAACCAAACAUUCGUACCAAGGUAACCAAACUAUUAUACCAAGGUAACCAAUCUACCUCCACACAUGCAGUAUGAAUUGGUUACCUUGGUUUGAAAGUUUGGCAACCAACGGUAUGAAGGUUUGGCUACCAACUGCAAUAACAUUCAAAAUAAAUUGGUAAUUUAAUAAAACUGAAUUGGUUAUCUUGGUAUGAAGGUUUGGCUACCAACUGCACUAUAAAAAAACUACAGGUGUGGAUGUGGAUUGGUUACCUUGGUACGAAGAUUUUGUUACCUUGGUAUGAGGAUUGGUUAUCUUGGUAUAAAGGUUUGAUUACCAACAGCACUAUGAAAAAACUGCACCUGGAUGGAGUAAUUAAUAAAUGUCAUACACAUUUUUUUUAGUAAGUGGGCAUGCACCUAGCUUAAACCCAUAUAUAUAAAAACAGUAAAACCCCUAUUUAAGAAUAUUCUAUAUAAGAAUAACCUCUACAAUAUUAUAAAAAAAAAUGGUCCCAAUUUGGGCCAGUUAUAAAUAUGAAUAACUUCUAAAUUGUAAUAUGUUAUAUACUCCCUCCUAUUCAUAUUAAAUGUCUUUUUAGAGUUAAACACACUUUUUAAGAAAUAACACAAAAUAUCUUUUGUAUCCCUAAUUAAUUAUUUCUCUCUCCACAAUGGUCCAUGGAAUUGUAUUUACUAAACAUAUUAAAUAGAGGGGUAAAUUAAAAAAAAAUAGUGUAAUAUUACAUAGGGAUUCCAAAACAACACUUAUAUAGAAUAAAAUGAAACUCUAUAAAAAGAUAUUUAAUAUGAAUAGGAGGGAGUACUUUUUAAGUCUCGUAUUAAAAAAUUAUACCUCUAUAUAGUAAUAAUUUCAUAUAUAUAUAUAUAUAUAUAUAUAUAUAUAUAUAUAUAUAUAUAUAUAUAUAUAUAUAUAUACACAUAUAUAUAUAGAGAGAGAGACAAUAUUAAUUUUAAAAGACUAUAUUUUCUAUAAAAGACUACAUUUUCUAUAAAUAACUACAUUUUCCUAUAAAAUAUUAUAUUUUCCUAUAAAAGACUAUAUUUGCUAUAAAAGACCAUAUUUUCCUAUAAACAUUUUCUAUAAAAGACUACAUUUUCCUAGUUUGAAAAUCUAAAUAAUUUAUGUGAGUUCUUAUUGACAUUUUGUUAAUGUGAAUAUUUUUGGGUGUUCGAAAAAUAUUUUGUACCAAUACCGCUAUUUAGUAAUAACCUCUCAAUUAGAAUACAAAUAAUUUGGUCAUAAAUUUAUUCUUAAAUAGAGGUUUUACUAUAUAUAUAUAUUUAGAGAGAGAGAGUCAGGAUUAAGUGCAUACCACUUAUCUUACUCACUCGUGCUCACCCCCCUUUAGGCGACGAUUUCGGUUAUACAACCGUUGUCUAUACUUUUAACGACGGACAACAUAUAGCGUUGCUAAAAGUAUAAACGACGGUUGUAUGACAGAAACCGUCGCCUAAAGGGGGGUGAGCACGGGUGAGUAAGAUAAGAGGUAUACACUUGAUCCGGACCGUAUAUUAUAUAUAUAUAUAUAAAACAAAAUAUAAUUGAUUUUAAAUUUUCUGCUCACCUUAAUAAAUCAUCUGGGCCAACCAAAGUUUGAGAUAAAUCCUACUGUCCAUGUAGUGCCGGAGGCACGGGACGAAUCUAGAGUGAUUCUUUUAAAUAACACUCCCGCUUAAAUAUCAUUUCCUUAUUAAAACUAAUAUAUAUAUUAGAACGGAUGUAGAACACUCCUCUUAAAUAUCACUACCUCUUAAAUAUCACUCAUUAAUUUAUUAAAAUUACGUCGUUUUGGAGAUUCUUUUAAAAUACUCCAUACAAAAUAAUAAGUAUUAAAAUAUAGUGAUCCCACUUGUUUUUUUUUAUUUACAAAAAUAACACUCGCGACUCCACAUGUUUUUUUUUAAAAAUUUCAAAACAAUGUAGUUUUAAUAAAAUAGUGUUAUUUAAGAGAGAGUGAUAUUUAAAAGAAAUGCUUUUGAUCCGUUAUAUAUAUAUAUAUAUAUAUAUAUAUAUNNNNNNNNNNNNNNNNNNNNNNNNNNNNNNNNNNNNNNNNNNNNNNNNNNNNNNNNNNNNNNNNNNNNNNNNNNNNNNNNNNNNNNNNNNNNNNNNNNNNNNNNNNNNNNNNNNNNNNNNNNNNNNNNNNNNNNNNNNAUCGCCGCCGGAACCAAAACCGGACUGCAAAGAACCAGCACAGGGGUGGCUAGGGUCAGUGCGAUCACCGUUCCGACGAGGGUCAAGCCUGAGAGGACAAGAAAGGACCCAUCGGAACGGUGUUGUGCCGCGAUCAAAAAACAAUCAGUUGGGAGUUGUUGAUCUUGAUUACGAGGAUUCUGAUGAGAGAUGGACAAAUGGGAGUCAUUUUCUGUGUUGGACAUUGCUUUACUUUCAGUUAGAGAUACUGUGUGUUGAUGAAAGAAUCAAUGGAUGAGAGAGAGAAAAGGAUGAGGAAAACAGUGAGUUAGAUCUGUAAACAUUUUUGCCUUGUUUUGAUUUGGGGAGAUAGAAAAAAAGAGAAUAAAUUCACUAAUUAUGUAAAUAAAAAUUUUAAAUGCAUUAAUUAUGUAAAUAUUUUAUGAGUCCACUAUUGUUGUAAUUAUUAUAAUUAUUUUAAAAAAUAUACUAAAAAAAUAUAAUUAUCCCAUAAAAAAUAGGUGUUUUUAACCCAGCCCAAAAAACUCAUCCGAAAGUAUUACAACCAGCAUUAAAAUGAAAGUCAAGCUUAGAUAAUGAUAUUUUGGAUCCGAUUAUCAUAAAUUUAUUUAAUAAAAUAUUGACACGCAUUAAACUUCGUCUGCAUGUAAUUAAUCAAUUGAUUAAUUUACUCAAAAAUAAACUUUAUGCUAACAAUUUAUUUUUUAAUAAAUUGAUGAAUUAACAAAUAAAAUAUUGACACGCAUUAAACUUCGUCUAUAUGUACUUAAAAAUAAAUUUAUGCCGAUAUUUUUUGUUGGUAGGGUACUUUCUUUGUCAGUGGUAUUUUAUGUACCCUUUUUUUUUGGGUGAACAAUUGGAUAGAUUGUUUUGGCUUAUUUGAUUACUUUUAAUAAAUACCAUCAGAUCUUAGAAUGAAUACAAUACAUGGAACAAGUUAUUCAAAAAUAAAAAAUAAAUCUUGAUUUAUUUUUCUAGGUCUUGCCAAUUGACAUGGAUUAAUCAAAGGACAAUUUACAACAAGAAGAAAAAUGAUUUAGUGUAGCACCAUGCUCGUAAAGUCUGAAGGGUAAGUAUCCAACAGACCAUGUAUUUUGGUGCUUCAAAAUCCACACAAAAAAUUAAUAAAAAUUAUCAUAUUUAUUUAUAGGGGCUUCUUUUCAUUGCGGGUGAUUGAAGAAUUAGCAAAGCAAUCAGAGAACUUUGAAGACCAUAAUGGUACGAUAUGAACUCAACAUGGAGGUUCAGACAGAAAAAGCUCAUCAUUUUACUUUGCUAUUUUGUUUAGAUCUGGAUCUGAUUUCAAUUUCAAUUGGUUAAAAAGUAGAAGAGAUCAUUGUAGGUGUUUUGGCAAAUAAACAGAUGAUAUUAAACAAAAGAAAAGAAUACUGAGUUCAAUCGAAUCUUGUUUAUGCCAAAUAUAAAUUUUAAUUUAGCACCUUAAAAUACCAGAUCUCGAAUUUUCCUUUCAACUAUGCUUCAAGUUGAAAGGGGCUAUAUGGUGCAGCAGCAGCAGCAGGAUAGAGGAGGAGAGAGAAAAUAUAUACAUACAUACUAGGGAUUGAAGACUUUGGAGUUACCUACUAAGUACUUUUUUUAUAGAUAAA